rnacentral:lncRNA from 1 species
CCCCGUGCUAAAUCCCGCCCCGCCUGCCGCCUGCUCCUGCAGCCGCGCGGACCGCCGCGGCCCCUCACCCGACUGCUGGGACGGGGACGCAUACGACUGCAGUUCUCUCGCCGGCGUGUUCUGCAGCCCGGCUGCCACGGAGGUGCGGUGGAGCCAGGGGUCCAGAGCCACCGGGUUAUUGUGGAAAUGCUGCGCCGCCGUGGUGGUCAGCACUCCAUACAAAUGCUGGAAACACAAACAGCCAACUGCCCCACAGCCACGUGGACCCACAUAUCCCUCCCCCCCCCGCCUCCUUAGGGGCACCAUCAGAUGGGCCACACAUUGCCACCUGCCAUACCUGCAUCAGCACCCCAACUCCUAGUCCCAGCCUGAUUAUACAAUGCACCAUGUGCCAACACUCCAUACAAAUGCUGGAAACACAAACAGCCAACUGCCCCACAGCCACGUGGACCCACAUAUCCCUCCCCCCCCGCCUCCUUAGGGCAGGGCACCAUCAGAUGGGCCACACAUUGCCACCUGCCAUACCUGCAUCGGCACCCCAACUCCUAGUCCCAGCCUGAUUAUACAAUGCACCAUGUGCCAACACUCCAUACAAAUGCUGGAAACACAAACAGCCAACGGCCCCACAGCCAUGUGGACCCACAUAUCCCUCCCCCCCCGCCUCCUUAGGGGCACCCACAGGUGGGCCAUGCAUUGUCACCUGCCAUACCUGCAUCGGCACCCCAACUCCUAGUCCCAGCCUGAUUAUACAAUGCACCAUGUGCCAACACUCCAUACAAAUGCUGGAAACACAAACAGCCAACUGCCCCACAGCCACCUGGACCCACAUAUCCCUCCCCCCCCGCCUCCUUAGGGGCACCCACAGGUGGGCCAUGCAUUGCCACCUGCCAUACCUGCAUCGGCACCCCAACUCCUAGUCCCAGCCUGAUUAUACAAUGCACCAUGUGCCAACACUCCAUACAAACGCUGGAAACACAAACAGCCUACUGCCCCACAGCCACCUGGACCCACAUAUCCCUCCCCCCCCCCGCCUCCUUAGGGGCACCUAGAGGGAUGGCUCCUGGCUCUCAGGACGGAAUACCUGUGAGCAGGUUCGGUGGAUUCCUGAGCCCCAGUUUGCUCCUGCAGAGGCAACUUAGCCCUGGCUAUAGUGUCCCUGUCAGGGCCCUUUCAUCAAUUGUCCAAACACUGCAGGGCAGCGUCAAACCAUAGUGGUACUAGGGGAACAUUGUUCAUAAAUGUUAUCGUUCCCCAAGGCUCAUGACAUGGGAAGACACGUUCCACAACUACUCAAGCACAACUACUACACGGCUAAGACCAUGCUCUUCUUGUAAGACCAGGCUCCUCUAGCUCCUCUUUAUCCCUCACAGCAGUUUGCAAGUUCAUGCUGCAAGUCCAUACUCCAAGGGUGACAGCCGCAAGAGUGGUAUGGUGUAGGCAUCAUCUAGUCCAUACUCUGACAACUGCUGCAACAUAAGCAACAACUGAAUAACAACUCUGCUACUAUGCACACCGUAUAUACCUAUGCACACAGUCAUAGCAAAGGUCAUAGCAAAGGGGCAAACCUUGGUUGUGCCCACAUCAACACAACCCACAUCAACGCACCCCACAGACUGAUGUCUGGUUCUGGUGAGGUUCUUUGCCCUAUAUUUAUCAUGAAUGGCACCUCCCCCCAAUACACAUAUGCAUUAUUACUCUGAUAUACUAGUAGGCCAAGACACACAGUCUCUCAGGCAAUCCAGGUUUCACGCCUUUUGUCCUUGUUGUACCGAUUAUAUCAGUCAGACGCCUCAAUGAAGUUUGAUGGAAGCGGUUGUUUCCGAGGGGGCUUCCAGCCAGGGCUCCCCGGAUGGCACAAGCUUGGCGUUCCGCAGGGUAAUCCUGCAGACAUAAUGGAUUAUAGAAAUGAAGGAAUGUACUGUCAGGUAAGGCUUUCUAGACUUUCAGGAUCUCAAGGAAUCUGCCAUUUGACAUCCCUGACUAGCCUGUCCACACAUCUGCUGCGAAGUAGCACGGCACCCCAGCAGUGAAGAAACUGCGUAGCUUUGCAUGCGCAACAGUGUGAUGUUGGGGAAGGGUAAGAUUAAAAGGACAAGUGAUUGAGAGGGUGGAAGGGGGUGGAUGUCAGUGCACAGUGCAUUGUGAGGGUAGCCCAGUUGUGACGUGGUUGUGACGUGGUUGUGACUGUGACUGUGACUGUGACUGUGUAAAAGACAGUUCAGGGUGUGAAGAGAAACAAACGUUGAACGUACCUGGCUUUGCGCGACAUCCAUCCCAGCAGGUGGGCCACUCAGAGGGGCCGCAGGCGGGAUAUAGCUGAGAAUCCCCCCUGCUGCAGCAGCCAUAGGCAUGCAUGCAUGAGGGGCAGGCCAUACAGCGACAUAGCAAAGAUCACAAAAAAGCAACAUACCAAGUGCCGGUACAGCGGGGAGUAUUAAGGUGGGCAUGAUGUGAGCCGGCAAGGUAGGAGGUGUGGGGACGAUGUUGGGAUACAGAGAACCGAUAUGACAUCUCACGGAAUACACUUGCAGUGUCCGCCCCCAGCCCCCGUGUGCCACUCGAUUGCCACGCUCUCCUCCUCACCCUAUUGCAUUGGGUUUGGUUUAGUUUGCAAUGGUAUCUACAACCCCCACCCCCACCCGGCCCCGCCACCCGGCCCGCCACCUGCCUUGCAAUGCAAGCCCGGGUCGCAGCCUCAGGACAUUCAGUGGCAUGCCUGGGUGCAUGUGGCGGCGUGCCCCGACACGGCGGCAUCCAGGUAGCAUCACAGCCAGCGCUCGUAUCUUAAGCAGGCAGGGGCGGCGUCAGUGGCCGAAUUCCUUAAAAUGACUUCGUUUGGUUGACGAAACAGGCUGCCGCUGCUUCGUUCACCCCCAAAAUUUUUCCGGAGGCUCUGCCCCCGACCCGCACGGUUCGUGCGGUGGUGUCGGUGAUCUUGGCGGACGCCAAGCAAUUGCACGGGAAUAUAACAGUAAACCAUUGCCCCAGAACAUUCUCAGAUGUCAACACCGACACGACCCGCACACUCCUCCCCUGCUUGCCGCCGACCCAACCUCAUUCUCCCGCCGUCAACACCCAUAGAUACAGCCCUCUGAGUCUUCUGACCAUAUGCCAUGCAGGUUUCGUUCGGCCGUGGGGUACGUUAGGUACGUAGCCGCUGGAACCCCCUUGUCCUUCGGCCAAAAGUGGCCGCAAUCCCAAAAUGUCUUCGUCUGUUUGCCGAAAACCCCCCCAAGAUCCCGUGCCUUUGGGCCGAAAAUUCAAGUCAAGAUCACAAAAAUUUCUUCCGCAGGAGACCUUUUUGGGCAAAUUUCGUUCCGAACGAAGGAAGAUACGAGCGCUGAUCACAGCAGGUGGUGACAUGGUUCGUGCCGUCCGCCCCCAGCCCCUACCCCCACCCACCGCCACAGCGCGAGGCGUCCUAUACGAGACAUUGCCCAAAUAGGUAGCCGUAGCGAAAGAGCGGUGAAGUGGCCGGAGGAAGGGAAGGCAAAAUCGUGUCGGCGCAGAUUUGGGAACGGGAAGGGAGUGGGGAGCGGGGCCCACUUGGGAGGGCUCAGUAUCGGGGACAGGCAGGGGAAUGGAGAUGGCAGGUGCGCCACGGGGCCUGGUAGCGGAGGAGUGUGCACACACCCAUGGAUGCGCAUCAGCAAACUUCCAGCCAGCCAGCAACUUUUCGGUACAGUAACUCCGGCGUUCGUCCAGCCGCGCACUCCUGCCCUGCCGUUGCAAAGUGUUUGCCAUCUUCUGGGGGCUGAGAGUUUGCUGCACCCUGCGGGACUUCACCAAUAACCUGCCUGGACACUGCCCCAUCGCACACCAACGGAUGCUGGGGCCAUACACGCGAGGGCGGGGGGAUGCGGGGACGCAGCCACGAAGGACACAGUAUUAGCGUCAGGAAUGCCGGGAGAUGAUGUGGGUAGAUAGGCCGCUGGUCGUCAGCGGUGUGGCCGGGCUGCAUCGGGACACACACACACCCCUGUCCCGGGACAGGCCGCCAUGGGGCGGUGUGGUCGGGCGCGUAAGCCUUGGAGGCAGCAAUAGAGAGCGCUAUGCCUUACAAGGUAGACGUAGCUACCGACCGCCCAAGUCAAGUUAACCCUUGUACGGAAGACACUCUUGGCACUUCACCAAUGAGACUUAUUGAAGUGCUCGCCUGCUCGGCCCCAUUCGCCCGGCCCCAUCGCAUCCGUACCACCCGCGACCCUCGCGGAAGUACGCGGAAUCCCUCCACACAGUUACCCUUCCACCCACACUGGGAGCAGUCUAUCAGACUGCGCGGAAAGGACGACUAGUUUCGCGACGAUCCCACCACACCCACCCGUCGCGAAGAGGAGAACCCGGAACACACAAUACACACAGCAGCACUAGGAACACAAGGCCCCAUCACACACCAACCCUAGCAACGAAACAGCAUACAUACGACCGCCAGCAACGGACUACUCAGCCUCAACUGCGGAGGGCUCCAGGUGGCGGUCGGGGUCCAGGUACCGCCGCAGCGUGCCCACGCUCCGCAUCUGAGCCAGCUGCAGCAGGGCGUCCAGGCCAGCGCCGGUGGCUCUGGCGUGCUGCAAGGAGCCGCGGCGGAAGCUGUGGCAGGUCUCGCCCUCCCCCAGACCCGCUUGCUCCAAAUGGCGGCGGAGGCGGUAAUUGAGGUCGGACGUGCUCAUAGCCCGUUCCUCAAAACCGCGCCGGUCAGCCCGCAGGGGCCGGAACAGCCAGUCACCCACCGCCCAGCCGCCCUCAGAGCACAGCUUCAAGUACACCGCCAGGCAGCGCACGAAACACUGGGAGGUGACGGGCGCGGGGGCCAGGUCGCGGGCGGGGGCGCGACGCCCCUGGUAGGUCUUGGUCCCGAGCUGGCUCACCACGAGGGUGGGGAAGGCGGUGAGGGGCGUCCCCAGAAGGGGGAGGGGAAGGGGAUACCUGGAGUAGGCGGAGGAGGAAUUGGCCGGGUCACGAAGAUCGCUCAGACGCAGCCGCCCGCAGUCGUGGCCGCGCGUGGUGGUGUGCCACAUGAACUGGUAGCACAGCAGGUCGCGGUACAGGCACGCCUCCUCGAUCCCGGCGGUGGAGGGGGCGGCGUUGAGCAGAUAGCGGCACAGCUGGGCGAACUUGUCAUACGACAGAGGCCGGGCGGAGCGCUCCUGGUACCCGCCGGCGCCGGCCUGACGCCCGUACCCACGACGGUACAGGCGGACAUCCGUAGACUCGCAAGGGUUGCCGCGAGGCGUAUCCUCGGUCCAGGGCCCCUUGCGACCGUACAGCUCGAAGCCACCGGAGAGCAGGGAAAGAUGGGUGAGCACCGAGCUGGGGCUGGGGCGCCCGCCAGCAGCGCGCCCACGAUGUGUAGAAACCCAGUGCCGCUCCAUGUAGAUCAGCACGUGCUCGGGGGUGCAGGAGUGGGCAGACACGCCGGAUGCGCGCCCCAGCAGCCAGCCCUCGAACUCAAGCAUGGCAGCCUCGCGUGCCCGGCGGGUAGACGGAGCAUGCGCGUGCGCCUGCACAGCAGCCACGGCGGGCAGGCUGCCCAGCAGGUAGGAGCUGGAAGCGGAGGCAUCCAGCACGAUGCGUGGAAUGGCGGGCAGAGGGGCGGUGGAGUAGCGGAACAGAGACAACCGCAACUGCGAGGGCGGAGACACAAGCACAAGGAUGUGUUAAGAAGGCUAUCAUAGGAGACGCGCCGAGCCAAGAAGAAGCCAAAGAACAGCGAUUCACGCACCGGAGGCGAAGCGGCGGGGAGCGGAUCCGGAAGCGCGGGGAGAGGCAGCCCCAAGAGACUUGAACCAGAAGAAGAAGCCGCCCCAAAGGCGCCCUGCGAGGGCGCGCAUAAGCGUUAUGGGCCAAACAACACAAGGACUGGCGGCGAGCCUCACCGCCGCGAACCCAGAGCCAGACCCAGGCGUGGACAAGACGUUGCUCAGGACAGGACGAGCAGUCGCCGAAGGCGGGUCACCGAACACGCCACGCCCGGGACCGGCCUGGAAAAACAGUGAACGAUUCCGGUCACCAAGCAGCACCAAAGGUCGUAACAAGAGCAGAUUAAUAUAGAGCGUAUCGGAAACCCACCAGAAGGCCAAGAGAAAUUCCGUGCAUUGAGGUUCGUCACGGGGCGCGUAAGCCUUGGAGGCAGCAAUAGAGAGCGCUAUGCCUUACAAGGUAGACGUAGCUACCGACCGCCCAAGUCAAGUUAACCCUUGUACGGAAGACACUCUUGGCACUUCACCAAUGAGACUUAUUGAAGUGCUCGCCUGCUCGGCCCCAUUCGCCCGGCCCCAUCGCAUCCGUACCACCCGCGACCCUCGCGGAAGUACGCGGAAUCCCUCCACACAGUUACCCUUCCACCCACACUGGGAGCAGUCUAUCAGACUGCGCGGAAAGGACGACUAGUUUCGCGACGAUUUAGGAGAGAGUUUUGCAACAACACGCUUAGGACGGCCCAAGCACUUUGCGUAGGAUAGAUAAUACACUGGAGUAGGAGACUACUCCGAAGAAUAGAGGAAGCAAGAAAGCUCAGAGCUCGGAGCUCGGUUCAUCGGUCGGCCUCGGCGCAAAAUGGUAAGCCACGGUAAGUAUCAUUAGUAGGGCGAGAUAAUAGAUGUUAAGAAAUGCACGAAAAGGCACCCGAACACAUGGUCCAGCCCAGUCAAGGUCAGUCAACGGGGCCGAUAGCAUGCUACAACCCACGAGAACAGUUUGGCGUCAAGCCCGAGGAGCUAAGGCAACAUCGCGGCAGUAGACUAAUCACCUAAGCAAGCAGCGGCUGGGGCCCAAAGGUCAAACGCAGCACGGUGAGGGGCGAGGGCGCGGGGCUGCACCAAGCGGCGGGAGGGGGAAGCCGGCCAGGCUGAGCGCGGGAAGCCGGGGUCGCACUAAGCGGCGGGCGCGGGGCCAUGCGGGAGUAAGGGGCGGCAAGUCCAGGGUUGCGCCAAGCGGCAGGUGCGGGGGGCAGGCGGCAAGCCAGGGUUGCACCAAGCCGAGGGUGCACGGGGCAGGCGGCAAGCCAGGGUUGCACCAAGCCGCGGGUGCACGGGGCUGGCGGCAAGCCAGGGCUGCACCAAGCGGCGGGUGCAGGGGGCAGGCGGCACGCCAGGGUUGCACCAAGCGGCAGGUGCGGGGGGCAGGCGGCAAGCCAGGGUUCCACCAAGCGGCAGGUGCGGGGGGCAGGCGGCAAGCCAGGGUUGCACCAAGCGGCGGGUGCGGGGGGCAGGCGGCAAGCCAGGGUCACGCCAAGCCGCAGGUGCGGGGGGCAGGCGGCAAGCCAGGGGGACACCAAGCGGCAGGUGCAGGGGGCAGGCGGCAAGCCAGGGUUGCACCAAGCGGCAGGUGCGGGGGGCAGGCGGCAAGCCAGGGGGGCACCGAGCGGCAGGUGCAGGGGGCAGGCGGCAAGCCAGGGUUGCACCAAGCGGCAGGUGCGGGGGGCAGGCGGCAAGCCAGGGUUGCGCCAAGCGGCGGGUGGGGGGGGCAGGCGGCAAGCCAGGGUUGCACCAAGCGGCGGGUGGGGGGGGCAGGCGGCAAGCCAGGGUUGCGCCAAGCGGCGGGUGGGGGGGGCAGGCGGCAAGCCAGGGUUGCACCAAGCGGCAGGUGCGGGGGGCAGGCGGCAAGCCAGGGUCACGCCAAGCCGCAGGUGCGGGGGGCAGGCGGCAAGCCAGGGGGACACCAAGCGGCAGGUGCAGGGGGCAGGCGGCAAGCCAGGGUUGCACCAAGCGGCGGGUUCGGGGGGCAGGCGGCAAGCCAGGGUCACGCCAAGCCGCAGGUGCGGGGGGCAGGCGGCAAGCCAGGGUCACGCCAAGCCGCAGGUGCGGGGGGCAGGCGGCAAGCCAGGGGGACACCAAGCGGCAGGUGCAGGGGGCAGGCGGCAAGCCAGGGUUGCACCAAGCGGCGGGUGCGGGGGGCAGGCGGCAAGCCAGGGUCACGCCAAGCCGCAGGUGCGGGGGGCAGGCGGCAAGCCAGGGGGACACCAAGCGGCAGGUGCAGGGGGCAGGCGGCAAGCCAGGGUUGCACCAAGCGGCAGGUGCGGGGGGCAGGCGGCAAGCCAGGGGGGCACCGAGCGGCAGGUGCAGGGGGCAGGCGGCAAGCCAGGGUUGCACCAAGCGGCAGGUGCGGGGGGCAGGCGGCAAGCCAGGGUGGCACCAAGCGGCGGGUGCGGGGGGCAGGCGGCAAGCCAGGGUCACGCCAAGCGGCAGGUGCGGGGGGCAGGCGGCAAGCCAGGGUGGCACCAAGCGGCGGGUGCGGGGGGCAGGCGGCAAGCCAGGUUGGCACCAAGCGGCGGGUGCGGGGGGCAGGCGGCAAGCCAGGGUUGCACCAAGCCGAGGGUGCGGGGGGCAGGCGGCAAGCCAGGGUUGCACCAAGCCGCGGGUGCACGGGGCUGGCGGCAAGCCAGGGCUGCACCAAGCGGCGGGUGCGGGGGGCAGGCGGCAAGCCAGGGUCACGCCAAGCGGCAGGUGCGGGGGGCAGGCGGCAAGCCAGGGUUCCACCAAGCGGCGGGUGCGGGGGGCAGGGGGCAAGCCAGGGUCGCGAAAAGCCGCGGGUGCACGGGGCAGGCGGGAGUACGGGGAGGCAAGUCCAGGGUUGCACCAAGCGGCAGGUGCGGGGGGCAGGCGACAAGCCAGGGUUGCACCAAGCGGCAGGUGCGGGGGGCAGGCGGCAAGCCAGGGUUGCAGCAAGCGGUGGGGGCGCGGAGGCAGGGCACUGAGGGCAGGCAGAAUGCGGGGCGGCAAGUCAGGCUUGCGCCAAGCGGCAGGUGCCGGGGCAAGGAGACGGCAGGCCAGUGUUGCACAAGCGCGGCGGGACGCAGGGGCAGGGCAGAUGGAGUGCGGGGGCGACAAGCCAGGGCUGCACCAAGCAGCGGGGAGGCGGAGACAGGACAGGCGGAGUGCGGGGCGGCAAGCCGGGGGUUGCGGCGGGUGUGCGAGGCAAGGGCAGAUGAAGCGCGGGGCGGAAGCCGAGGGUUCGUUGCGGCAUACAGCGGGUGCGCGCGGGCAGGGCAGGCGGAGGGGUAUGUGGGCCAGAGGUACAGGGCUACUGACACCAAGCAGUGGGGGCGCUGGAGGGGAGCAGAAGGAGGGCAGUGAGACAACCUGGGGUAGUGCCAAACGAACCGGGCAGGGGGACGAAGAGCCGGCAAAAAGAAGCGUUGCGAGAUGUGGUGCUACAAAGGAGAAGGCAGUAGGCCAAUCGGCGCCCCAGGAGGAGCGGUAUGAGAGUAGCGAGGGCAAGCCGGGGCUGCGACAAGCGACGGGGGCCACGCACGGAGCGGAGCACAAGCAGGCGACUCAGCCCGAGUGACGGGGGCGCUGGGCGAAGCAGGCUGAGGGCAGCAAGAGCAAGCCGGGGCCACACUAAGAGACGUAGGCAUGGGGCAGAGCAGGUAGGCGGAAGGAGGCGCAGGCAAGUCAGGGGGCCAAGUGGCGGGGGCGUUGGGGACUCACCGGCAGAGGGCUGAGAUGGCAAACCAGGGGUUGCGCCUAGCGGCGGGGGGCUCUGAAAAGAGCAGGAGGCGGGCAGCGAGGGCACAACUGGGCUUUGCGACAGGGGCACGGGGGAGAGCAGGCGGAAGGAAGCGCGGGCAACUCAGGGGAGGCGCCAAAUGGCGGGGGCGUUGGAGAAGAUCCGCCGGCAGAGGACUGAGAGGACAGCCCAAGGGAUGUGCCUAGCGGCGGGCGCGUGGGGAAGAGCACGCUGCGGGCAGCGAGGGCAAACAGGGUUCAUCACGCCGGGGGCUCGGGGGUACGGGGCAGAGCAGGUGGCAGGGAGCGAUGGCCGUGGGGCUGCGCAGGCGGAGGUGAGGGCAAGGGGGUUAGCAGGGAUCCCGUCGUCAUCGGCACGUAUGCGGGACAGGCGGGGGCGGGGCAGCAGGGGAAGGCGUGGUGGAGGUGGCGGAAGGGCACGGGAUCCAGACUGCACGUAGCAGGGGUGCCGGUAAACGGACUGGAUGACUCGCCAGGGACUGCUCGCGGUGUUGUCGUGGAGUUGUGGAGGGUUACCCGCCACAGGUGGCAGCCCAGGGAUGGCACACAACCGAGGGGGCUUUAUUUGGGGGCAGCACUGACGGCAAAAAAGGCUAAGCCAGGGCAAAAGGCAAACAGUGAGCGCGCAAAGAGGAGCAGCCUGAGCGAGGGCAGAGAGGACAAGCUGGGACCCGCGAGUUGGUAGAAGAAGCCAGAGCGAGGGCCGCGAUGUCCCGACAAGCCAGGGGUAGCACCGAGAGAUUGGGGGCGCGGGGCCUGGGCAGCAGGUCGAGGGCGUCGAAGACAAUAGUGGGUACGCCAAGGGGCGGCGCGGGCGCGGACGCGGGGCUUGGCAGGAGCAGGUAGGCGGUGGUGGCAGUGGGUGGCCGCGCGUGAGGAGAGCAGGCAGGCAGAUCGAUGGCAGCGAUGCUGCGGUUUAACGUUGAACCAAUCCGAUGCUGGGGUGCUCAAGCUUAAGAGAAUGCGCGGGGGCAUAGGGGGCAGAGCAGCAAGCCAGGAGAGGCGUCAAGCGGUGCGUGAGCAGGGGCAGAGUAGGCCGAGGUAAGCAAUGACAAGUAAGCCGGGGCGGCGACAAGCGGCGGGGAGGGCAUCCCAGGCAGAGGGCGCGGGGCUGGGGCGACAAGCCAGCAGGAGCCCGCCAAUGGGUGGGGGCGCAGGGAGCAGUACCGGACGAGGCAGCCCGGGCAGCCGAAACUUUGUGAGGCAGAGCAUAGAAGGCGUCACUUGGGAGACCUGCUGACAAGGGGUAGGGCUGCAGGGGGGCCCUACCGGGGCCCCUAGGGAUCCGAGACAGGCGGCGAGCGCGGCCCAGUAGGAGGGAUCGCACAACAGAGGGGUUGCAACAAGUGGCAGAGAACCCGGGAUACGAGCCCCACAAGAGCAACAUGAGGUAGGGCAGCGGAGACCGCAACAUUAACGACACACCAGUUUGGCACGGGGGGUCGCGCCCAGGCUAACAGAUUCCUGUGUGUCUGUGGUUACAAGGUGGCGAGCACGAUGACGUGCAUCCCUGUCAGAUUAACAGGCGGGCAGGACCUGGGGACGGGGCGAGGGUAAUCCAGGGCAGAUUACGGGAUCAGAAGUCUGGGUGCCCGGUGAGAGGGUGGCCGACAGGACGCGAACAACCCAGGGCGGGCGCGGGGCGCACGGUGCGAGAAGGAUGCUAGCUAGGCACGCGGAACAGGCAGGGCAGACCCCCGGGCCGCCUCCCAGCACCUACUCCGGCUGCCCUCGAGUAAGGCGGGACGAGACGCACACGCACAUGGCUGACCCGCCCGCGGGACCCGGGUAGGCGGACGCCAGAAUCGGGGAACGGGCCCCGGACGUAAGGGGGGCACUAGGUGGCGCAGGCGGGCCGAGUAAGGCUUGGCGGGAGACGGAUAGACGGAGUAGACGGAGUGCAGAGGAUUAACACUCGGCCAGGCAGGGGGCUAUCUACCCACGGCUCGUGUCACUGCGAUAGACAACCCACAAUCGGGCAGAUUGGUUCCUGGAUACCGAUCAACGCGGGCCCUGCCACGGGGGUCCGUGGGCCACCCGCGAGCCGGGGGAAACAUAUGAAGCCGGCAGGACAGGCGGCUCGCCUGGCGGAAGAGGCGGGCUGAGGCGGACUAGCCAACCGACAGCACCUUGAAGGGGCGGGCGGGCAAUGCCGGGCAAUGCCGAGCCAGAUCAGACAGGCAACACGCCAAUAAGUAACAGCUGCCAAGACACAUACACAUGGAGGAGGAGCCCAGUACAUACAGUCGACGCGGGAAGAGCGGCAGCGGCAGGAACAGAUUGAAGCCGAGUAAGAAGCGCCAGACCUGGGGGGGGGGGGCGCCGGAAUACCCUGGCAGAUAGUAGCGGUGGGGAAGGAGCGAGGGUAGAGGGGCAAGAAGCCACGCGAGGGGACCGUCGGUAAGAUAGUCCACCUGAGCGAUACGUGCCAGGGCAAGCAGAAGCACGGCACGCAGGUUGGGACGUCACCGGCAAUUGCGCAAAACCGGACACGCACGUGAGUGAGCUAUGCAGUCAGGGGCCAGCCGGAGAGAUGGAAGACACUAGCGGCCUAUAUAUAUCAUCAGCAAAGGGGGCGGGUUGCAGUUACCAAUAGUCAGUGCGCAUGUAUAGGAGCGAGGAGGAGAGCGGGGAUACACCAAAAACCGCGGCCAGUACACAAGCAUCAAGCAAGCAACGGGAACACACCGACGGGAACACACCAGCCGGACGCAGCUGGGGAGCGGCACAAGUUUAAAAGCAUAUGGCGGCCCAACCAAGUAGGACGCACGCAACCGCUGGCGGAGGAGCAAGGGUUGCGGUCACCAGCCCAAGCUAAGCCAAACCAAACCAAGCGGAUGGGGAAGAGCGAGGAGGAGAGCGGGGGCCGGGGGGUGGGUGCUGUAGCAACGGCCACCGGGGCACGCCGUGCUAAGAGGUGAGGCAGGCAGGCAGGCAGGCAGGCAGGCAGGCAGGCAGGCAGGCAGGCAGGCAGGCAGGCAGGCAGGCAGGCAGGCAGGCAGGCAGGCAGGCAGGCAGGCAGGCAGGCAGGCAGGCAGGCAGGCAGGCAGGCAGGCAGGCAGGCAGGCAGGCAGGCAGGCAGGCAGGCAGGCAGGCAGGCAGGCAGGCAGGCAGGCAGGCAGGCAGGCAGGCAGGCAGGCAGGCAGGCAGGCAGGCAGGCAGGCAGGCAGGCAGGCAGGCAGGCAGGCAGGCAGGCAGGCAGGCAGGCAGGCAGGCAGGCAGGCAGGCAGGCAGGCAAGCAGGCAGGCAGGCAGGCAGGCAGGCAGGCAGGCAGGCAGGCAGGCAGCCAGGCAGGCAGGCAGGCAGGCGGGCGCCUGGGAAAGCGGGGCUUGCCACACCCUAGGCAGCCCGCGGCCUGAACACUAGGACGCAUGCUGGGGCACACACCCACUACCCGCACUCAAUCGGACUCAAGCCCCCCCUGGCACAAGAGAAACCGUGCACUGCCGCCCGGGGACGGACCUGGUGCGGCCGGCGGCAUGCACCACGGCUGCCCGCGCACACCAGGAGGGGACACACGGCGGAUUGCACCAUGGCGAUACGCGGCAAUCUUUAACCAGUACUGAAAGUCCUCACCAUUGGCGGGACGGAAGACCGGAGCUCGCAAGCCCCAGCGAACAUACAAGCAGGGCCCACUGGGACUAUGGUUGGGACACCGCCGGUGGCCCGACAGGCCGACACCGCGCGGCAGGCGGCACGCAGGACAAACAGGGAAAGGGAGGCGACGAACCACAUGGGUAGGCGCGCUCAAACACUGCAGAGACCCAAGCAGCGGCUAGACAGGGGAUGCAGCAAGCGCUGGCCCCGGCCCCGCGCGGGCCAAAUUCGUGACCGUGGGGGCACGCGGAGCGCCGCCCAUGGUUGGGGUGAAGGCAGGGAGUAGAGUGGUACAGAAGAGAGACCCAGGCUGGGCACAACGUCCGAUGCAGACUGCGCAACCAAUAAGCUGCGUCAACACGCUGUACGUGCACACGCGCGCGGCAGCCCAAGAGGUGGGGGCAGGGAGGACCGCGGCAGCGCGAGGCGUCCUAUACGAGACAUUGCCCAAAUAGGUAGCCGUAGCGAAAGAGCGGUGAAGUGGCCGGAGGAAGGGAAGGCAAAAUCGUGUCGGCGCAGAUUUGGGAACGGGAAGGGAGUGGGGAGCGGGGCCCACUUGGGAGGGCUCAGUAUCGGGGACAGGCAGGGGAAUGGAGAUGGCAGGUGCGCCACGGGGCCUGGUAGCGGAGGAGUGUGCACACACCCAUGGAUGCGCAUCAGCAAACUUCCAGCCAGCCAGCAACUUUUCGGUACAGUAACUCCGGCGUUCGUCCAGCCGCGCACUCCUGCCCUGCCGUUGCAAAGUGUUUGCCAUCUUCUGGGGGCUGAGAGUUUGCUGCACCCUGCGGGACUUCACCAAUAACCUGCCUGGACACUGCCCCAUCGCACACCAACGGAUGCUGGGGCCAUACACGCGAGGGCGGGGGGAUGCGGGGACGCAGCCACGAAGGACACAGUAUUAGCGUCAGGAAUGCCGGGAGAUGAUGUGGGUAGAUAGGCCGCUGGUCGUCAGCGGUGUGGCCGGGCUGCAUCGGGACACACACACACCCCUGUCCCGGGACAGGCCGCCAUGGGGCGGUGUGGUCGGGCGCGUAAGCCUUGGAGGCAGCAAUAGAGAGCGCUAUGCCUUACAAGGUAGACGUAGCUACCGACCGCCCAAGUCAAGUUAACCCUUGUACGGAAGACACUCUUGGCACUUCACCAAUGAGACUUAUUGAAGUGCUCGCCUGCUCGGCCCCAUUCGCCCGGCCCCAUCGCAUCCGUACCACCCGCGACCCUCGCGGAAGUACGCGGAAUCCCUCCACACAGUUACCCUUCCACCCACACUGGGAGCAGUCUAUCAGACUGCGCGGAAAGGACGACUAGUUUCGCGACGAUCCCACCACACCCACCCGUCGCGAAGAGGAGAACCCGGAACACACAAUACACACAGCAGCACUAGGAACACAAGGCCCCAUCACACACCAACCCUAGCAACGAAACAGCAUACAUACGACCGCCAGCAACGGACUACUCAGCCUCAACUGCGGAGGGCUCCAGGUGGCGGUCGGGGUCCAGGUACCGCCGCAGCGUGCCCACGCUCCGCAUCUGAGCCAGCUGCAGCAGGGCGUCCAGGCCAGCGCCGGUGGCUCUGGCGUGCUGCAAGGAGCCGCGGCGGAAGCUGUGGCAGGUCUCGCCCUCCCCCAGACCCGCUUGCUCCAAAUGGCGGCGGAGGCGGUAAUUGAGGUCGGACGUGCUCAUAGCCCGUUCCUCAAAACCGCGCCGGUCAGCCCGCAGGGGCCGGAACAGCCAGUCACCCACCGCCCAGCCGCCCUCAGAGCACAGCUUCAAGUACACCGCCAGGCAGCGCACGAAACACUGGGAGGUGACGGGCGCGGGGGCCAGGUCGCGGGCGGGGGCGCGACGCCCCUGGUAGGUCUUGGUCCCGAGCUGGCUCACCACGAGGGUGGGGAAGGCGGUGAGGGGCGUCCCCAGAAGGGGGAGGGGAAGGGGAUACCUGGAGUAGGCGGAGGAGGAAUUGGCCGGGUCACGAAGAUCGCUCAGACGCAGCCGCCCGCAGUCGUGGCCGCGCGUGGUGGUGUGCCACAUGAACUGGUAGCACAGCAGGUCGCGGUACAGGCACGCCUCCUCGAUCCCGGCGGUGGAGGGGGCGGCGUUGAGCAGAUAGCGGCACAGCUGGGCGAACUUGUCAUACGACAGAGGCCGGGCGGAGCGCUCCUGGUACCCGCCGGCGCCGGCCUGACGCCCGUACCCACGACGGUACAGGCGGACAUCCGUAGACUCGCAAGGGUUGCCGCGAGGCGUAUCCUCGGUCCAGGGCCCCUUGCGACCGUACAGCUCGAAGCCACCGGAGAGCAGGGAAAGAUGGGUGAGCACCGAGCUGGGGCUGGGGCGCCCGCCAGCAGCGCGCCCACGAUGUGUAGAAACCCAGUGCCGCUCCAUGUAGAUCAGCACGUGCUCGGGGGUGCAGGAGUGGGCAGACACGCCGGAUGCGCGCCCCAGCAGCCAGCCCUCGAACUCAAGCAUGGCAGCCUCGCGUGCCCGGCGGGUAGACGGAGCAUGCGCGUGCGCCUGCACAGCGGCCACGGCGGGCAGGCUGCCCAGCAGGUAGGAGCUGGAAGCGGAGGCAUCCAGCACGAUGCGUGGAAUGGCGGGCAGAGGGGCGGUGGAGUAGCGGAACAGAGACAACCGCAACUGCGAGGGCGGAGACACAAGCACAAGGAUGUGUUAAGAAGGCUAUCAUAGGAGACGCGCCGAGCCAAGAAGAAGCCAAAGAACAGCGAUUCACGCACCGGAGGCGAAGCGGCGGGGAGCGGAUCCGGAAGCGCGGGGAGAGGCAGCCCCAAGAGACUUGAACCAGAAGAAGAAGCCGCCCCAAAGGCGCCCUGCGAGGGCGCGCAUAAGCGUUAUGGGCCAAACAACACAAGGACUGGCGGCGAGCCUCACCGCCGCGAACCCAGAGCCAGACCCAGGCGUGGACAAGACGUUGCUCAGGACAGGACGAGCAGUCGCCGAAGGCGGGUCACCGAACACGCCACGCCCGGGACCGGCCUGGAAAAACAGUGAACGAUUCCGGCCACCAAGCAGCACCAAAGGUCGUAACAAGAGCAGAUUAAUAUAGAGCGUAUCGGAAACCCAAUAGAAGGCCAAGAGAAAUUCCGUGCAUUGAGGUUCGUCACGGGGCGCGUAAGCCUUGGAGGCAGCAAUAGAGAGCGCUAUGCCUUACAAGGUAGACGUAGCUACCGACCGCCCAAGUCAAGUUAACCCUUGUACGGAAGACACUCUUGGCACUUCACCAAUGAGACUUAUUGAAGUGCUCGCCUGCUCGGCCCCAUUCGCCCGGCCCCAUCGCAUCCGUACCACCCGCGACCCUCGCGGAAGUACGCGGAAUCCCUCCACACAGUUACCCUUCCACCCACACUGGGAGCAGUCUAUCAGACUGCGCGGAAAGGACGACUAGUUUCGCGACUAGCUCCGCGGAAAGGACCACUAGUUUCGCGUUCCUGGAGUGUCCAGCUUAUGCGCAGGCGAGGACGUGGCUGCAGCAGCUGUGGGCCUGCGUUGCGCCCCAGGCAGCGGCGCCGCCAGUGACGGACGCGGGCUUCAUGCUGGGGGACCGCAUGGGUAUGUGGGCCUCAGGCCCGCGGGGGGCGGGCGCGCUGCUGUGGAGCACUUUGCGGGCCACCUUCUUGUACGCCGUCUGGUGUGCGUACUGGUCCCGCGAGCCUGCUAAGCAGACGUCGGAGCAUGUGGUUCGGGAGGUGGUCAGCGAGCUGCGCAGGGUGAUGCAGCUGCGUUUCACUGCCGCCACGCUAACCCCUGAAACCCUGUCGGCUCUGCCCACACAGCUUCUCACCGCGCAGCUCAAGGCGGCUAAGCUGGAGCACUUUGUUGCCAUCUGGACGGCGGGUGGCGCGCUUUGUGAAGUGGAGGAGGUUCAGGGUGGGUCACCGAAGUUGAACUUGCGGCUGACGCUUGCAUCACCUGUGCAGGCCCCCUAGGUUUCCUUUUGGGUGGCGUUUCUUUCCAAGCGCUGGCGUGGUGUACUAUCGUCAUCAGCUUAUCUGGCGCCCAUGUGUUUUAGCUCUGGCUGGCGUCGCAGCGCCUGGGCGGCUGUGGGACUUCCUGCACAGCGCGUCUUGCAGCGGGCUGGAGCCCACUUAGUCAGCGCCACAUCUGGCCCAUUUAGUCUUCUGCUUGUGUCUCCUCUGCCGGUUCUCCUGGGGUGUUGCUUAAGCAACCGACUUGUGGGGGUGGGGUGGGUUUGGGCGGGGCGAGUGCGUAGCGCUGGUGUUUCCUUUUCUGGCGCGCGGUGGUGGUGGUUCUUGCGGUUAGGCUGUGGUGUAGGUUGGUGCUUGGGUUAGGUCUGGCGGUGUUUUUGUGCAACCCCUCCCGGGGGGCGGGGGGGCCAGCCUCCUGCUCUGUCUGCCGGGUCGGGGUGGGGUGGGGUGCGGUGGGAUGGAUGGGGGUGGUUGGUGGCGGUUUUGAGGUGUUUGCUUUCUGUUUUCUUCUCUUUUCUUCUCUUCUUGCCCUGUCAGGGUUCUGGUCUCGGGGACCAGGCUGUUUUCAGGCAGCAGGGGGGCAGCGCGUCUGCCCCUGUUCAACCUUGUAAGGAUGAUCCCUCAAAAAAAUCCACCGCCGGGGGCAGCACGCCAGGCCCAGGCUCCAAGAGCCGCCCCGUGUAGUGGACGUAGGACACAGCCCCCGCAGCGUUAGCCACCCACAGCUGGUCCAGGCUAACCCGCCACUGUGGCGGCGCCGCUGGCGGCUGAGUGGCUGGCUGCGGCGGAUGCUGUUCCACACCCGCGCUCCGCACGUGGCCGACCGCGGCCGCCAGCCGGGCAGGCAGCCCCGCUGGCGCCGGCGCGUCGCUGUACACCCACGCCCACGUGGUGGCGGAGUCCGGGCGCACAUGGGUAAGCAGCGCCCGGGUGAGCAUCUUCCAGGGUUGCCGGCCUGGCUGGGCAAGGAGGGCGAAAGUCUUAGCUUGCAGGGCAGACAGGAACGCAGGCAGGUCGACGUGGUUGACACCCCCGUCCUUGUACGGCAGACAUGCCGUUUCCCGCUUUGGCAGCAGGAGCGGGUUCCCGUGCGACACCAGGCUGGCGUCCUCAGCGUGCAUGGAGCGCGCAGCAAAGUGGUCCACCAGGUCGGUGAGCUCCUUCAGCUGCGCAGGCGACGGGUUGAGGAAGCUGAAGUGGUAGGCCAGCUUCGCCGCCAGCACCUGCUUCGCAAUGUGCACACGGCCAACGAGAGUCAGAGACAGGGCAGCCCACAGACGCGCCACAAACGCCAUGCCGCGAGCCCGCCGGGUGUACAAGUCAGCUGCAGCCGCAUCAGAGUCCCACGACAGGGGCACACCCAGGUGCGUCACGGCGCCAGUGGUAAACGGCACCCCGGUGUGUGGGCAAGGGCCCGUCAGGUGCGCAAACCUGCCAAGGCCCAUGGCCUUGCUCUUGUCCGGAUGGACACGGGCGUUGGACGCGCGGCAGAACAGCUGUACUGCCGCCAUCAGGACCGGCCCGUCCACCGCCGGGUCGCGCGCCGUGAGGGUCGUGUCGUCAGCGUGGUGGGCAGCAGGCGGCGCCGGCUCGCCGCUGGGUAACAGGGGCGUGCGCAGUGCCCCUUGCUCCACCUGCCGCCGCAGAAAGGACGUCAGUGGCUGCAUCUGGAUGACCCACAGGGGUGGUGAGGCGGUGCUGCCCUGCGGCAAGCCGUUCAGCACUGGGAAGGCGUCAGAGAGCAUCCCGUUCACACACACGCGGGCAGAGCCGUUGGCAGUGAGCAGGCGGAUCCAGCGCAGCAUGCGCGGCCCAAACCCAAGUCCCUCCGCGGACGCAUACAGCCACUGCCGGUGCACCCGGUCAUACGCCUUUUCUAUGUCCAAGAAGUACAGCGCACCACCCUGCCGUGGCGUGCCGUCCGCGCCCACGUCCAGGCGCAUCCAUUCGAUCAGGCCUUGGAGGUUUUUUUUUUUGAGGAAUCAUCCUUACAAGGUUGAACAGGGGCAGACGCGCUGCCCCCCUGCUGCCUGAAAACAGCCUGGUCCCCGAGACCAGAACCCUGACAGGGCAAGAAGAGAAGAAAAGAGAAGAAGACAGAAAGCAAACACCUCGAAACCGCCACCAACCACCCCCAUCCAUCCCACCCCAACACCCACCCGCCCCAGCCACGGCGCCCACACGCCUGCACAACCUGCCUUGACGGUGCAAGCCCACGCAAUAGCCUCAGGACAAUCAUUGGAAUGCCUGGGUGCCUGUGGCGGCGUGCCCCAACUCGGGUGCACCCAGGUAGCAUCGCAGGUGGUGAUACGGUUCGUGCCGUCCGCCCCCAGCCCACACACUAUAAGGACGGGUUUGUGCGUUACACCUGCUUUUUGUGCAUAAAGCAUGCGUUGGGGGUGGGACGCAUGCGUCCACGGAACGCAAGAAUGCAUGAGGGCCGGGCAGACGCAUGCGCCCCACGAAUACGCAAGCCCCCGACGCAAGCCCCCGACGCAAGCCCCGUCAAAGCCUUCACCUCAAGUACUUGCUCAACUCACAGAGUGUAGACACAUAGCGAACGAUGACUUUGCCAAACCUCGCGAUCGCCCAACUGCACUACACCCCUACCCACCCCCCCAUACAUGUAGCCCCUGGGCCACGGGGAGCCCGUGCACCUGCGCCACCUGCCUUGACAGUGCAAGCCCACGCAGCAGCCUCAGGACAUCAAGGGGCAUGCCUGGGAGCCUGUGGCUGCGUGCCCCCACGCCCUCGUAGCAUCGCAGGUGGUGAUCAGUGCUCGUAUCUUCCUUCUUUUCGACAGCUGCUGCAUGGCGCUGGGCGGUGGGGCGUUUUGUGUGGAAGGCACGUGAGCAGCUGUGUUUGUGGCACCUUCACAGGCGGCGGGGGCGGCUUUGCUGCUCAUCGCUUGGUCCUGACACGAGGUGCUUGUUCAGCUACCUCACCCAGCACGCUGUAACAGGGGCACAUCCCGUGCGGCAGAAUAUUUUGCUGUGCCAGAGCCGAAACGUGGGCUGGAGGCAACAGCCACCUCACCCCGCACGCUGUAACAAGGGCACAUCUCGUGCGGCGGAAUGUUGUGCUGUGCUGGAGCCGGAAGGUGGGCUGGGGGCAACAGCAGCAACCUCAUCCCGCACGCUGUAACACGACAAGGUUGUUUGCACCAGAUUCCCAGUACUAGCCAUCUGUACCAAGCUGUGUGUUUGUGUGGAGUUUCUGUUUUGAGAUGGAUGCACGGCACGAAUGGGAGAUUGAGAGAUUGCUGACACGGCCUGCCACACCCCUGGCUUGACACGAACCGUGCAUAGGUCGGGGGUGGAGCCCCCAGAAAACUUUUGGGAUGAAAGUUGCGGCGGCAGCGUGUUUCUGAGAAUUAAAGGUGCUCUAUUUCGGAAAUCUGUCAGCACCUGCCUUCUUAAGAUACGAGCAGUGGCCCAACCACUGGUGAUAUGGUUAGUGCCGCCAGCUCCAGCCCCCAGCCCCCACCCCCACCCCCACCUGCCCCGCCAUAGCGCCAGCGUGCCUGCGCCACCUGCUUUGAGGUGAAACCCCUCGCAGCAGCCUCAGGACAUCUAGCGGCAGGCCUGGGUGCCUGUGGGGGUAUGCUUCGACACGGGUGCGCCCAGGUCGGGUGCGCCCAGGUCGCAUGGCAUGUGGUGAGACUGCUGUCAUGGCGUUGGCCCCCAGCCCCCGGCCCCACUCCCACCGCCACGGUGCCAGGGUGCCUGCACAACCUGCCUUGAGGGUGCAAGCCCAGGCAGCAGUCUCAGGACGCUCAGUGGCAUGCCUGGGUGCCCAUUGUGGCGUGCCCUGACAUGGGUAGCAUUGCAGGUGGUGAUACGGUCAGUGCCGCCCGCCUCCAGCCCCCAGCCCCCACUCCCACCUGGCCGCCACGGCGCCCACGCUCCUGUGCCGCCUGCCUUACAGUGUAAGCCUGCCCAGCAGCCUGAGGACACAACAACAUAGGGUCAUUCCUGGUCAUAGCGCAGCAGAGCCCAGGGCCCAGCGGGUACACCACCUCACACGAAGGCCAGGGAGCAAUCCAACACCAAACCAAAAUCAUGCACACUCGCAAAACAAAAGCGCACACACACUGACAAGACACCUGAAGGCUGCGAGGCUUGGUCCAGGGACCCUCGCAGCCUCACUCCAUCCAGACCUCAGCUGAACCAGGGCAAGACGCCAGGGCAGACUAAGCCUACUAACUGAACAGGGUGGAAGCGCUGUAGGCUUAUCUUGACAUAAAAAAGUAGGGUCUAAACGGGAACCAAUCCCGUCUAAAUACGAGUGUUGUGGAAACGAAUGCGUACGUAGACCAGAGCGGAUGGCGGAGUGGGCUAGACGGGAUGGAAUCCCGCCCCCAGCCCACACACACCCACCGGCCCCGCCACGGCGCCCGUGCACCUGCGCCACCUGCCUUGACGGUGCAAGCCCACGCAGCAGCCUCAGGACAUCAAGGGGCAUGCCAAGGAGCCUGUGGCGGCUUGCCCCGACGCGGGCGCGCCCAGGCAGGAUCGCAGGUGGUGAUACGGUUUGGGUUGUCCGCCCUGCCUAUCUACGAUUUAGCGACCGCUAAUGAGCCGUCGUCUAUGAUAAACAUCAGAAGACAAGCAACAUUCUCCAAAGCUGCAAGAUGCCUUCAGCGAAAGCCAUGCACAAAAUGUUGCCAGCGACGCUCGUAUAAUGCAGCAGGAGCCCACACAGACUAGUCAUUGUUCUAUGCUCCAUAAGCUAUUGCCUGAACAGGGGAGGGUAACUCUGCGCAUGUGCUGUGAAACUUUCUUCAAUUGCGUUUGGACGGGAAGCUUUCCCGUCUGGACGGGAAGCCUUCCCGUCUAGACGGGAUGGGUUCCCGUCUAGACGGGAUGGGUUCCCGUCUAGACGGGAUGGCUUCCCGUCUAGACGGGAUGGGUUCCCGUCUAGACGGGAAGCCUUCCCGUCUGGACGGGUUGGAGUCCCGUCCAGACGAUACGCACAGGAACAUUUAUAUGUUUGCAGGGAUACUUAGUCCUCUGCAGACCAUUUCAGCCCUGUCAGGGAAUUGCAGACGCGACCCUGACAGGAUACCGCAGUUACCUGCAUGACAUUUGUACCCUGCAGAAUACAUAAAUUAUCUUGCAGAAGAAAAAACAUUCCUGGGAUCCCGUUUAGACGGGACUCCAACCCGUCCAGACGGGAAAGCUUCCCGUCCAAACGCAAUUGAAGAACGUUUCACAGCACAUGCGCAGAGUUACCCUCCCCUGUUCAGGCAAUAGCUUAUGGAGCAUAGAACAGGACAAUGACUAGUGUGGGCUCCUGCUGCAUUAUAUGAGCGUCGCUGGCAACAUUUUGUGCAUGGCUUUUGCUGAAGACAUCUUGCAGCUUUGGAGAAUGUUGCUUGUCUUCUGAUGUUUAUCAUAGAUGACGGCUCAUUAGCGGUUGCUAAAUCGUAGAUAGGCAGGGCGGACGACCCGAAUUGUAUCACCACCUGCGAUCCUACCUGGGUGCGCCCACGUCGCCACAAGCACCCAGUCAUGCACCUCGAUGUAAUGAUGCUGCUGGGCGGGCUUGCACCGUCAAGGCAGGUUGCGCAGGCUAACGGGCGCGGUGGCGGGUCCAGUGGGUGUGGGCGGGUGUUGGCUGGAAGCGCAGGCAUGUGGGCGCAGUGGCUGGGGCUGUGGGCAGGGGUACGGGCUGAGGGCGGACAGCACGAACCGUAUCGCCACCUGCGAUGCUACCUGGGCGCACCCGUGUCAGCGCACACCACCGUAGGCACCCCAGCAUGCCGCUUGAUGUAUUGAGGCUGCUGCGUGGGCUUGCACCGUCAAGGCUGGUCGUGCAGGCGUGCUGGCGCCGUGGGUGGGGCUGGGGGAUGGGGGCGAACAUCUUGAACCGGUGUCACCACAUGCGAUGCUACCUAGGCGCACCCGUGUCGGGACACGCCGUCAUAGGCAUUCAGACAUACACCUCGACGUCCUGAUGCUGCUUGGUGGGCUUGCACCGUCAAGGCAGGUGGCGCAGGCGCAUGGGCCCCCCGUGGCGGGGCGGGUGGGGGUAGGGGCUGGGGGCCGACAGCACGAACCGGUGUCACCACCUGCGAUACUACCUUGGCGCACCCGCGUCAGGGCACACCACCGUAGGCACCCCGGCAUGCCGCAUAAUGUCUUGAGGCUGCUGAGUGGACUUGCACCGUCAAGGCAGGUUGUGCAGGCGUGUGGGCGCCGUGGUUGGGGCGGGUGGGUGUUGGGGUGGGGGUGGGAGUGGGGGCUGGGGGUGGGGGGGCUGGGGGCCAACGGCACGAACCGGUGUCACCACCUGCGAUGCUGCCUGGGCGUGUUCGCGUCGGGGUACGCCGCCACAAGCACCCCGGCAUGCCGCUUGAUGUCUUGAGGCUGCUGCGUGGGCUUGCACAGUCAAGGCAGGUGGCGCAGGCGCAUGGGCCCCCCGUGGCCCAGGGGCUCCAUGGUUGGGCGGGUGGGGGUGUGGGCUGGGGGCGGACGGCACGAACCGUAUCACCACCUGCGAUGCUACCUGAAUGCCACCGUGUCGGGGCACACCACCACAUGCACCCAGGCAUGCCCCUGAAUGUCCUGAGGCUGCGACCCGGGCUUGCACCGUCAAGGCAGGUGGCGGGCGGCGGGGCCGGGUGGGGGUAGGGGCUGGGGGCGGACAGCACGAACCGUAUCGCCACCUGUGAUACUACCUUGGCGCACCCGCUCAGGGCACACCACCGUAGGCACUCCGGCAUGCCGCAUAAUGUCUUGAGGCUGCUGCGUGGGCUUGCACCGUCAAGGCAGGUUGUGCAGGCGUGUGGGCGCCGUGGCUGGGGCGGCGGGCAGGAUUAGGGGCUGGAGGCGGACAGCACGAACUAACCGUAUCGCCACCUGUGAUGCUACCUGGGCGUGUUCGCGUCGGGGCACGCCGCCACAGGCACCCAGACAUGGUACUGGAUGUCUUGAGGCUGCUGCGUGGACUUGCACAGUCAAGGCAGGUGGCGCAGGCGCAUUGGCCCCCCGUGGCCCAGGGGCUCCAUGGCGGGGCGGGUGGGGGUGUGGGCUGGGGGCGGACGGCACGAACCGUAUCACCACCUGCAAUGCUACCUGAAUGCCACCGUGUCGGGGCACACCACCACAUGCACCCAGGCAUGCCCCUGAAUGUCCUGAGGCUGCGACCCGGGCUUGCACCGUCAAGGCAGGUGGCGGGCGGCGGGGCCGGGUGGGGGUAGGGGCUGGGGGCGGACAGCACGAACUACACGAACCGUAUCGCCACCUGUGAUACUACCUUGGCGCACCCGCGUCAGGGCACACCACCGUAGGCACCCCGGAAUGCCGCAUAAUGUCUUGAGGCUGCUGCGUGGGCUUGCACCGUCAAGACAGGUUGUGCAGGCGUGUGGGCGCCGUGGCUGGGGCGGCGGGCAGGAUUAGGGGCUGGGGGCGGACAGCACGAACUAACCGUAUCGCCACCUGUGAUGCUACCUGGGCGUGUUUGCGUCGGGGCACGCCGCCACAUGCACCCAGACAUGGUACUGGAUGUCUUGAGGCUGCUGCGUGGACUUGCACAGUCAAGGCAGGUGGCGCAGGCGCAUUGGCCCCCCGUGGCCCAGGGGCUCCAUGGCGGGGCGGGUGGGGGUGUGGGCUGGGGGCGGACGGCACGAACCGUAUCACCACCUGCAAUGCUACCUGAAUGCCACCGUGUCGGGGCACACCACCACAUGCACCCAGGCAUGCCCCUGAAUGUCCUGAGGCUGCGACCCGGGCUUGCACCGUCAAGGCAGGUGGCGGGCGGCGGGGCCGGGUGGGGGUAGGGGCUGGGGGCGGACAGCACGAACCGUAUCGCCACCUGUGAUACUACCUUGGCGCACCCGCGUCAGGGCACACCACCGUAGGCACCCCGGCAUGCCGCAUAAUGUCUUGAGGCUGCUGCGUGGGCUUGCACCAUCAAGGCAGGUUGUGCAGGCGCGUGGGCGCCGUGGGUGGUGCGGUGGGUGGGAGUAGGGGGGGGCGGACAGCACGAACUAACCGUAUCGCCACCUGCGAUACUAACUGGGCGUGUUUGCGUCGGGGCACACCGCCACAGGCACCUCGGCAUGCCGCAUAAUGGCUUGAGGCUGCUGCGUGGGCUUGCACCGUCAAGGCAGGUUGUGCAGGCGUGUGGGCGCCGUGGCUGGGGCGGUGGGCGGGAGUAGGGGCUGGGGGCGGACAGCACGAACCGUAUCGCCUACCUGUGAUGCUACCUGGGCGUGUUCGCGUCGGGGCACGCCGCCACAGGCACCCAGACAUGGUACUAGAUGUCUUGAGGCUGCUGCGUGGACUUGCACAGUCAAGGCAGGUGGCGCAGGCGCAUGGGCCCCCCGUGGUCCAGGGGCUCCAUGGCGGGGCGGGUGGGGGUGUGGGCUGGGGGCGGACGGCACGAACCGUAUCACCACCUGCGAUGCUACCUGAAUGCCACCGUGUCGGGGCACACCACCACAUGCACCCAGGCAUGCCCCUGAAUGUCCUGAGGCUGCGACCCGGGCUUGCACCGUCAAGGCAGGUGGCGGGCGGCGGGGCCGGGUGGGGGUAGGGGCUGGGGGCGGACAGCACGAACCGUAUCGCCACCUGUGAUACUACCUUGGCGCACCCGCGUCAGGGCACACCACCGUAGGCACCCCGGCAUGCCGCAUAAUGUCUUGAGGCUGCUGCGUGGGCUUGCACCGUCAAGGCAGGUUGUGCAGGCGUGUGGGCGCCGUGGCUGGGGCGGCGGGCAGGAUUAGGGGCUGGGGGCGGACAGCACGAACUAACCGUAUCGCCACCUGUGAUGCUACCUGGGCGUGUUCGCGUCGGGGAACGCCGCCACAUGCACCCAGACAUGGUACUGGAUGUCUUGAGGCUGCUGCGUGGACUUGCACAGUCAAGGCAGGUGGCGCAGGCGCAUUGGCCCCCCGUGGCCCAGGGGCUCCAUGGCGGGGCGGGUGGGGGUGUGGGCUGGGGGCGGACGGCACGAACCGUAUCACCACCUGCAAUGCUACCUGAAUGCCACCGUGUCGGGGCACACCACCACAUGCACCCAGGCAUGCCCCUGAAUGUCCUGAGGCUGCGACCCGGGCUUGCACCGUCAAGGCAGGUGGCGGGCGGCGGGGCCGGGUGGGGGUAGGGGCUGGGGGCGGACAGCACGAACCGUAUCGCCACCUGUGAUACUACCUUGGCGCACCCGCGUCGGGGCACACCACCGUAGGCACCCCGGCAUGCCGCAUAAUGUCUUGAGGCUGCUGCGUGGGCUUGCACCAUCAAGGCAGGUUGUGCAGGCGCGUGGGCGCCGUGGGUGGUGCGGUGGGUGGGAGUAGGGGGGGGCGGACAGCACGAACUAACCGUAUCGCCACCUGCGAUACCAACUGGGCGUGUUUGCGUCGGGGCACACCGCCACAGGCACCUCGGCAUGCCGCAUAAUGUCUUGAGGCUGCUGCGUGGGCUUGCACCGUCAAGGCAGGUUGUGCAGGCGUGUGGGCGCCGUGGAUGGGGCGGUGGGCGGGAGUAGGGGCUGGGGGCGGACAGCACGAACUAACCGUAUCGCCUACCUGUGAUGCUACCUGGGCGUGUUCGCGUCGGGGCACGCCGCCACAGGCACCCAGACAUGGUACUAGAUGUCUUGAGGCUGCUGCGUGGACUUGCACAGUCAAGGCAGGUGGCGCAGGCGCAUGGGCCCCCCGUGGUCCAGGGGCUCCAUGGCGGGGCGGGUGGGGGUGUGGGCUGGGGGCGGACGGCACGAACCGUAUCACCACCUGCGAUGCUACCUGAAUGCCGCCGUGUCGGGGCACACCACCAGAUGCACCCAGGCAUGCCCCUGAAUGUCCUGAGGCUGCGACCCGGGCUUGCACCGUCAAGGCAGGUGGCGGGCGGCGGGGCCGGGUGGGGGUAGGGGCUGGGGGCGGACAGCACGAACUACACGAACCGUAUCGCCACCUGUGAUACUACCUUGGCGCACCCGCGUCAGGGCACACCACCGUAGGCACCCCGGAAUGCCGCAUAAUGUCUUGAGGCUGCUGCGUGGGGGCCGGGCGGCGGGGCUGGGUGGGCAUCAAUGGCUUGGUUCUGUGCUGUGUGCAUGCAAUAACUGCUGUAUGUGGCUGCAGGACCUACCGCGGCUCGUUAGGUGGAUUACCCAGGAGGCGUGGUGUUGGUGGGGAAUAAGUAGAAUAAGUUUGGGAUCAGUGGGCUUGACACCAGGCUCGAUGUCAAGGUAGUCAAGGCAGGUGUAAAUUGGUUGGUGUAAGAGGCCUGCUUGCAGUGUAGGGGAGGACAUCAAGUCGAUCACUGGACAUGUGAGGGGACAUGUGAGGGGACAUGUAUGUGAGGGGGCGGGUGAGGGGAUUUGGGCAUAACUAGAGUAACAGGGCAGGGGUACCAGGGGGCAACAAGGGAUACAAGUGGGAGAGUAGUUGAAGGGGGCCCAAACACCCUCAUGCGCUAACGCAGCCCUGAGCAUAAGAACUGUGAGAGACAAAUGUCUUGUAUCAAAAGAGCUGUCAUAUUGCUGUUGUGGAAAGUGUAUUGCUGUUGUCGAAAGUGUCAGGUUAGCCAGAUGCCUGGUGAAUUACUGUGUCAGGGGCCAUACAUGGUACUCAAGCAAAAUGUUCUCCCAUGCAUAAAGCAUAUAAAAGCUUUUGAAGUAGAGCUAGUAGAGCAGGACUUGUGGAGCCCAUGUUUGAUAGGGGUUGACGUGCUAAAUGGUGUCUGGGCAACUGCUUGUUGAUAGUGUUGGCUGGUAAUAGUUGUAGUAGUCUGUAGGAGCUGGGGCCCAAGGCUGUGAAACCCUGUUACAUCACACGUUACAAAGGUCUUGGGAUUCAUCUACACACUCCCCUGUGUGUGGCCCAAGUAGAUCUGCAGGGAAGUAUGGUAUGUUCCUGUGGCAGGAAAGUUCACACCGCUGUUCACAGCUACUCGGGCAUUUUAGUCCUGAGAGGGGCAGGAGCCAUCCCUCUAGGGCACCCACAGGUGGGCCAUGCAUUGCCACCUGCCAUACCUGCAUCAGCACCCCAACUCCUAGUCCCAGCCUGAUUAUACAAUGCACCAUGUGCCAACACUCCAUACAAAUGCUGGAAACACAAACAGCCAACUGCCCCACAGCCACCUGGACCCACAUAUCCCUCCCCCCCCCCCCGCCUCCUUAGGGGCACCCACAGGUGGGCCAUGCAUUGCCACCUGCCAUACCUGCAUCGGCACCCCAACUCCUAGUCCCAGCCUGAUUAUACAAUGCACCAUGUGCCAACACUCCAUACAAAUGCUGGAAACACAAACAGCCAACUGCCCCACAGCCACGUGGACCCACAUAUCCCUCCCCCCCCCGCCCGCCUCCUUAGGGGCACCAUCAGAUGGGCCAUGCAUUGCCACCUGCCAUACCUGCAUUGGCACCCCAACUCCUAGUCCCAGCCUGAUUAUUCAAUGCACCAUGUGCCAACACUCCAUACAAAUGCUGGAAACACAAACAGCCAACUGCCCCACAGCCACCUGGACCCACAUAUCCCUCCCCCCCCCGCCUCCUUAGGGGCACCCACAGGUGGGCCAUGCAUUGCCACCUGCCAUACCUGCAUCAGCACCCCAACUCCUAGUCCCAGCCUGAUUAUACAAUGCACCAUGUGCCAACACUCCAUACAAAUGCUGGAAACACAAACAGCCUACUGCCCCACAGCCACCUGGACCCACAUAUCCCUCCCCCCCCGCCUCCUUAGGGGCACCCACAGGUGGGCCAUGCAUUGCCACCUGCCAUACCUGCAUCGGCACCCCAACUCCUAGUCCCAGCCUGAUUAUUCAAUGCACCAUGUGCCAACACUCCAUACACAUGCUGGAAACACAAACAGCCAACUGCCCCACAGCCACCUGGACCCACAUAUCGCUCCUGCAUCCUUAUAAUGGGGCGGCUUGGUUUCUCAGGCAUUCUCUAAUGGUGGAGCGCCUAUCUUCAGCUCAGUUUCUGGGUCUCUCUCGUGGGGCGGCUUUGUGCUCAGGCGUUCUCUAAUGGUGGAGCGCCUCUCUUCAGCUCAAGUACUUGGCGUCUGCUUUAUCUGGCAGCCAGCCCCUUUCUUUGACAUGGGACGUUACAGGCAGGGGACCAGGCAACGACAAGGCGGGCAGCAAGCAACAGGCAGCAAGCAAAACCGCGCCCCUUAGACCACAGGAGGAGAAAGGACCCGCAAUGCAACCACACCAAACGGGAAGGGGAGCCAGGCACCUGCUNNNNNNNNNNNNNNNNNNNNNNNNNNNNNNNNNNNNNNNNNNNNNNNNNNNNNNNNNNNNNNNNNNNNNNNNNNNNNNNNNNNNNNNNNNNNNNNNNNNNGGCAGCGGCAAUGGACCAGGUAGGCGCAGUAAAGGCAGACCCAUUUUGGUACAGUGUGACACCGUACUCUUUUGCCAGGGUCAUCUGUUUCAGCGUCGUCAGGUGGUGUGACCUAUGGGCUGGGAGAAGGUGGGCCUGUGUGGAGCCAGCUAUGCUUGCCUGGCGCGGCAGAAGGGCUCGGGUUACUAUCCCAAGACGGCCCGAGUCAUUUAGGGCAAGGACCAGGGCCCGCUGGGCCACGCGCGCGUAUUGCGGCAGGAGGGAGCCCAGGCCCAAGCCGUAUUCGUCGGCGGGCAGGAGGGAGGUCCGGGUGGGGAAGCUGCGGGGGAGUCCGUAGCAGCGCUUUGCAUAACCAGCCAGGGUAGUGUCGAGCGUUGUUAUGUCCUGUUUUGUGAAGGGCAUUGCUGCGAAUCCAUAUGCAACUGUGGUGUGCACGCACUGUUGUAUCAUGCGCAGGCGUUGUGCCGGUGUCGCCAGGGAUGUGGCAAUGGCUGUGCCCUUGUCCUUAACAAUCUCGGUGACUCUUGCGACAUGUGCCGACCAGUCCAGCGAGAACGUGAGCUGCACUCCCAGGUACUUGUACGGCUGGGUCGGGGGGAAGUACGGGACAGGGGUCGUGCCAAUCUUAAUUGUGUUGGUCAUGUUGCGGCGCAUGGCGGCAAGGGUAGCUUUUCCUGUGGGCCCGUCAAGGUUGGGGUCCGAGCGAGAUUUGUCGUGCCAGAUGGCGGUGGUGGCACACUUGGUGUGAUUGACACGCAGGCUCGCCCACUCGGCGUAAGAUGCGAUUUUGUCACAUUGAACCUGCAGGUCGUCGAGCGAGUUGGUGAGCGCCGCCAGGUCGUCUGCGUACGCGGCGGCACUGCAAUGGUAUUGCAGGUUUUCGCUGGGGGUCAGGCAGCCGUAGUGGUAGCCCCGUCCACCCGCAUGGAGCCAGCGGACAAGAGGUUCCAUGAACAGAAUAAAGAGCACAGGUGAGAGUGUAUCACCUUGCACGGUGCCUCGCUCUAUAGGAAUGGCGGAUGUGCUUCCGUGUUCGGUGCGGAUGCGGGUGGUCGCAUGUGCAUACAGGUUGCGGACUGCGCGGAUCAGGUCCGUUGGCAGCCCAAGGUCAAACAUUAUUUGUAGUAAUCGGUCCUGGUCGAUUGUGUUAAACGCGGAGCUAUAGUCCACGUAUACCGCAUAGACAUCUUUUCCAAACAGUGCGGCAUCCUCAAGGGCAUGUACCAAAUUUAGGACCUGCCUUUCGGUGUUGCAGUAGGCACGGAAGCCUUCCUGCGCUUCACUGAAUAGCUGGAGGGGGCCAGCCAGUUCGCCAAUGCCCAAGGUAAGCAUGGACGUGUACAGCUUGUAGCAGGUAUUUGCGAGCGCAAUGGGCCGUUUGUUUUUUAUGUCCAGGGCGUCUCCAGGUUUGGGGAGUAGCACGGUCUCCGAUGCGGCCCAGGUUUCAGGUAUUUGUGACUUGACGUACAUGAUUUGCAGGAUACAGUGGAGGUUGCGCUUCAUGCCUGAUGGCAGGAUACGGAGCAGUUCGUUUGGUAUGCCGUCAGGGCCUGUCGCCUUGUUUCUGGAGAGGUGAGAAAUGCACUGCUCAAAAUUUGCCGUGUCUGCCAUGCUGGGGAGCAUGGAGUGUGUGUCAGGGUGCCGGUUGCGGUCCAGUGUGAAUUGAUCUGUUGCGUCGGCUUUCUCAAAUGGGUAGCCGCGUGUGGCGUUGCUGGGUAGUCGGAAGUCCCCAGUGCGGGUGCCGCGUGGUGGGGCGGACAGCUUUCGGAAGUGGGUUUCGAGUAUGGCGAGGAUGCUGGUGGAGUCAGUCGUCACCUCCCCAGUUUCUGGGUUCCGGACCGCUGGGAGACCCCGUUCCAUGUCUUCCUUCUGAAAGAUUCUCUUGUGCCCCUGUGCAGGGCGCGUGGCCAGGGUAUGUUGCAGCGCUGUGGCAGCGGCCUCUCGCUGGGCUUUGGCGCGGUCCGCCACUAGCUGGCGGUGCUCGGCCUGGCAGGCCUUUAUUUCGUUCCGCAGCUUUGCUGCCGCAUUGGCGGCGUCAACCUCAGGUAGGGCCUGGGGCCCUUGCGUGAGGUUUGUCAGUUGUGUCUUCAGGGCCACUUCCUUGUCCCAUAGGGGCUUUAGCACCCGUGCGGUGGAGCGUGAUGCGUGGUGUUUGCCAGUGAAGGGGGCUUUCCGGGUGCACUCUUCAAGGAGGCAUGUUAGCCCGGUGUCCAGUGCGGAGGCAAGUUGUUCUGCAAGUUGGUUGAUAUCGGCCUUCUGGAUGCUCGUGUCCUGCGCCAGGUCUCGGUGCAUGACGCUGGCGGGGUAGCCUGUGGGGUCCGUGCUGUGCCUUGUGAGUGCAUGUUCAAUUGAUUGCGUUGCCUGCCUUGUUGCGGAAUGCAGGUCGGCUGUUGCUUCCACCAAGGCUUCCUCCACUCGGGGAAAGCCGCUCAUCCGAAUCUGGUCCGAAGUUGGUCCGAAGAUCUGUCCGAAACCUGAUCCGAAGCCUGGUCCGAAAGACCAUCCGAAGCUGGUCCGAGUUCCUGUCCGAAAGACCCCACCCCUGUCCGAAGUUUUUGUCUCCGAAGCUGGUCCGAAGUCGGUCCGAAUCUGGUCCGAAUAGCAUCCGAAUUACAAGUAUUUCGGACACUUUUGUCGGAUGCCAAGAUUCGGACGCAAUGUUCGGACCAGACCGGCCAUCCGAAUGGCAAUUCGGACGCGCCCAGCCCCAUUUCGGACACGCCCAGCUGUUGAUUCGGACGCACCCAGCCCCAUUUCGGACAUGCCCAGGCGUCAAUUUGGACACGCCCAACACCAUUUCGGACGCCGCCACCACCCGCUGCUGCCCAGUGCCCCGCCUGCUGCGCUUUUGUGGUGUCUACAGACACCGUUGCAUGUCCUGUCAUGCCCUUGUCAUGUAGCAGCGGCUCCCCUGCCCUUGUUCAACCCUGUACACAUACCCUUUUUGCUUGCUCCUGGGUCCCUUUGGCUACCUCGUCGCGCUCCUCGGCCCUACACAUGCGCCUCCAUGUUUGCGCACAUAUCACCUGCAUACACAGCACCACCGGCGUUGCAAGAGGCAUGGUGACAAGCCUUUCCCCGAGAUACAUGCUGUAUCUCACAUGCUGUAUACAUGCCCUGUCCGUUGAGCUGCCCACUGCACACAUGUCUUGGUGCUCCUUUUCAUGUGGAUUGCAUCACGAAAUCUGACUUACCACCAAAACGCAAAAGCGCCAUUGCCAGCAGCACAUGCACCGAUGCCGAGACGAAGGUUGACAUGAGAAUAGGGCGGCCGGGGAAUUGCAAGCAGAUAUUUGCAUGCAUAAGCAAUUGCAAACUAUUAGGACCCCGUGCGAAAGCGCAGGCAGGGCAGACGAAUGGUUGUUGACCGCGACAGGAAAACACUGCUGUAGACGUUUUGAGCUGAUACAAUGCGAGUUCUCAGUCAAAAACUUACAUUCUUGGGCCGUGAGCCUGUUUGGCCUUGAAUUUCGUGCAGGUCGGCGAAGGUCAGCGACAAAUCCUCCACUUUGACCAAGUUUGUAGCACCUCCGCCAACCCCUCAGGCAUGCUCGCAAGCUUGUGUCUAACAUAGUUGCUAUGAAUAGCAUCGUGCAGUAUCAUAGAGGGUUUGAGAACGUGGAACACUGCAUGCCGAUAUCGCUUGCAACAGAGAUAGGCUGUAACAGGCUAGCGAUACAUUUAACAACUUGUUAGUAUUAAAUCUGUAGUGUAUAGUAUGAGUCUUAUAAGAGAGUCAUACUAUUAAGUUGAGAAGCUGAAUGUCGGGUCUCCCCAUGCAGCAGCGCUGCCCCAUUGCGCAUGCCAGCUCGCCUCCCUUCUGGUAAUGCCAUUGCUAGGACGCUUAAUCCAAUGUAUGCGGCUGCGUCGGAUGCGGGCAUGGGAUGCAUGUGCCUGCCGCGCAGAUGGGGCCACACAAGCAGGCCACGCCCAGAAACACACUUCCCCACAGCAUACGCACACAGGACACGCCCCGCUGGGCUGCCAGCUUGAAGACACGCACAGUUGGCCAUCGUGCUGUGUUAGGCCAAGCGAUGGGCGUUGGUUGCGUCGGAUGCGGGCAUGGAUGGGAUGCAUGUGCCUGCCGCUCAGGUGGGGCCACACAAGCAGGCCACGCCCGGAAACACAGUUUCCCACAGCGCACACACACAGAACACGCCCCGCUGGGCUGCCAGCUUGAAGACACGCACAGUUGGCCAUUGCGCUGUGUUGAGUCAAGCAUUGGGCGCUGGUUAUGUCCGAUGCGGGCAUGGGAUGCAUGUGCCUGCCGCGCAGAUGGGGCCACACAAGCAGGCCACGCCCAGAAACACACUUCCCCACAGCAUACGCACACAGGACACGCCCCGCUGGGCUGCCAGCUUGAAGACACGCACAGUUGGCCAUCGUGCUGUGUUAGGCCAAGCGAUGGGCGCUGGUUGCGUCGGAUGCGGGCAUGGAUGGGAUGCAUGUGCCUGCCGCUCAGGUGGGGCCACACAAGCAGGCCACGCCCAGAAACACUCUUCCCCACAGCAUACGCACACAGAACACACCCCGUUGGGCUGCCCGCGUGGAGACACACGCAGUUGGGCAUUGUGCUGUGUUGGGCCAAGUGACAAACAACAAGCACCCCGCCCACGCCCACAGCAUUGCCCUUGCUCACACCCUUGCACUUGCCCCUGCCCCUGUACACGCAAACGCGCACGCAUGCACGCAAGCACGCACGCACACACGCACACAGGUGCACACCCACGCGCACGCACACGCACACACGCCCGCACAAGCGUGCACACACACCCACAAAUGCACAAGCUCAUGCUCAUGUACGCACAUACGCGUGCGCGUCAAUACACACGCACCUCGUGUACACACGAGCACACGCAUACACAAGCCCACAUAUGCACACACACACACAUACUGUCCUACGCGUAAUGUUUUCCUUGUGCUCUUUAACACACACACACACACACAUGCGCACACACACACACACACACACACACACACACACACACACACACACACACACACACACACACACACGCCUUUGGCAGAAGGUACGCUGGGAAUGGUGACACUUUGAGACGCUGUGGCGGUUGGCCAUUGACGCAGUGCCGCUGCCGGGAAACUCGCAUACGCCGUUGGCUCGCCGUGAGCCAUGCGGCUGUGGGCAGCACGGCCAUGGGGGCGCCGCGGCGGAGGCACACGCCGCCGCCGCGCCCACGCCACGGCAGCACCACUUCUGGGAUUGCGCGGUGGCGAAGGCCGUUGUGGCGCAGAUUAACGCACACAACCCCGGUCCGGCUCCCAUCAGCCAAGCCCAGCUGUGGCUGGUCCAGGCGCCGCCGGGUUUUCAGCAGUGUGUUUGGGACAUGGUGGUGAUGGACACGCCUGCGAGUGGAUUGCCUCUUUAAUGUCUACUAUCAAUAGCUACUCGGCAUUAGGUGAGGUGUGAGCAUCAGGGGAUAAAGAAUUCGAGGUGUACGCGACGAACGGAAAACCCACCGGGGUCGAUGGGUUUUUUUCGUUUCGCACACAAGCCGUAUUCCUCAAUUCUUAUUGUCUGUACCACUUUAUAGAGCCAAACUGUAUUCGUUUGUCAUCAACAAUGCAUCCAACACCAGCCGCAGACUGUGCGAGGAGGGAUUGAUUUCGAACUUAGCUGGCAGACCUCACUAGAAUGACUGUCUUCUCCCGGUUCGGUUGCCUUGGGAACCCCACUCAAAUGCUACAUGAGCUUGGUCGGGCAGUGGAGCGUGCGCGGCAUUGGAAGUCCACUUUCAAGCGGCAAUUCUUCCUCGCGGCAGUUUCGCUGGGGAAGUGUGAGCCCGGCAGCCAGCUGGUGGUCUACAAGGAUGGCGUGGAGUACACCACACUCGGGGAAAGCCGCUCAUCCGAAUCUGGUCCGAAGUUGGUCCGAAGAUCUGUCCAAAACCUGAUCCGAAGCCUGGUCCGAAAGACCAUCCGAAGCUGGUCCGAGUUCCUGUCCGAAAGACCCCACCCCUGUCCGAAGUUUUUGUCUCCGAAGCUGGUCCGAAGUCGGUCCGAAUCUGGUCCGAAUAGCAUCCGAAUUACAAGUAUUUCGGACACUUUUGUCGGAUGCCAAGAUUCGGACGCAAUGUUCGGACCAGACCGGCCAUCCGAAUGGCAAUUCGGACGCGCCCAGCCCCAUUUCGGACACGCCCAGCUGUUGAUUCAGACGCGCCCAGCCCCAUUUUGGACACGCCCAGCUGUUGAUUCGGACGCACCCAGCCCCAUUUCGGACAUGCCCAAGCGUCAAUUUGGACACGCCCAACACCAUUUUGGACGCCACCACCACCCGCUGCUGCCCAGUGCCCCGCCUGCUGCGCUUUUGUGGUGUCUACAGACACCGUUGCAUGUCCUGUCAUGCCCUUGUCAUGUAGCAGCGGCUCCCCUGCCCUUGUUCAACCCUGUACACAUACCCUUUUUGCUUGCUCCUGGGUCCCUUUGGCUACCUCGUUGCGCUCCUCGGCCCCACACAUGCGCCUCCAUGUUUGCGCACAUCCCUAUGGCACCCAAAUGGUGGUAAGGAUCCAAAAACGGGGGUGACGAUCCCCGGACAGGGGGUAACGAUUGUUUCGGGCCCGCACGGCCUGGCACGCCCAGGACGCAAGCCAAGUGGUGCUGUGGUCACAUCUUAGCUACUUGUCAUGCAUACGCACAUUGCAGACUGGGCGGAGUGCCUUGCGUCUCCGACAAGUGAACAUGCCGACAUUCUAGUCUGCAAAGUGCGUAUUGUAGUGACAGUUUGUGUUAAAACAGUCUAUAAUGUGAAGCCUUAAACUUAUGUAGUCUUUGCGCUCGUGAACGAGGAAGUCUGGGGGCUGUAGGCCGACUGUGUGACAUUGUGACAGGGACCCUUGGGCGUGGUAACGACCCUAAGCCAGGGGUAACGGGGUUCCUGCAUGGGGUUCUCGCGGGCCUGACUUAACAAGCAGCAUAGAGCGGCCCCUGAUACUAAUACACAUAUACUGAUAUAGUACCAUACAUAUACUGAUACACUGCACUUCAUGCCGGUGCCGCUGCACUUCUGUUCCUCUCCCCCACUUUGCUCUCUCGCGCUUGCUACUUCUCUUUGUAACACAAAUUUAUGCUAGCUCAAAUGUCAGUAGAACAAGAGCUGGCGGCAGACGCUGCUUGGCUGGCUUGGGACGCGAGUCCUCACGCUGCUGACUGCUCGUUGACCGGCUUGGCAACGCUGCUCACACGUCAGCUGCAGCCAGCUAUUACUUGAGAGAAACGACUAUGCCUCAUAAUCUAUCAGCUGCGCUUCAAAUGUCCGACCGAGAAGUCUCGGCGGUCGCCGGCGUCAACAACGCCAUUCAACAUCGUGUUCUGUCAACAUCACCCUCGCCCCGCACGCCAGAGUCCGCAGGUUAGUCUGCAGGUUAGUCCGCAGGUUGAAUGACGAUGGGAUGCGUUGAACCUAGUGGUACCUCGCAAGCCAGUGUGCAUGGUUCAUCUUCUCGCGCUGUGUUGGGUUGUUUGGUGGAGCCCCCGCCUACAACUAGUGACUGUCUGCUGCCUCCCUUACCAGCGCUCGCUGUAAGGUGUUUUUAUGGCUCCCUUGCCACGGUGCCUUGUGUCUCACAUACCACCCCGCCCCCCUCCGCACGCACACACCCUGCCCCGCGACAGCUUGCUGCCCAACCCCUGUUGUACCCUAUGGACCGUAUGGUUGGCUGGACUGCCCCUACACCUCCAGCAUUGUGCUCAUCAACGGUGAGUGUCCGUGACACGUGUGGGCGCGCACACAUGCACAUGUGCACACAGACACGCCUUGUGUGGUAGGCCCCGUGCACUGCCAAGCACUCUGUCCAUGGCUGGCCUUGACAUGCAUUGGCACCUACCCGUCUUGUGGCAGACGAUUAACUGGGUGUGUCUAUGUGUGUGCACGCAUGCAUGCAGUCGCUGCCGGUGGAAGCAAAACUACAGGAGCCAGCGUGACACCAGCUGUCUGGCGCUAGAGAUGGAGGCGGGCGCGGCGGCGCCAGUGGCAUAGUUUGGCAUGGUAGCUGUGGUGGCGGCGGGCGUCAAGGUGGUGGGUCAGAGACGUUGUGCCCAGCAGACAUGCAAGUGGUUGCUGCCAGUGGCUAGUUGCACGUUCACAUGCAGACAUGACUAGGCGUAUUGUUGCAUGUACAUAUGGACUUGCGGUAGUGUUGCAUAAGUGUUGCAUGAGCAUCUGCACUUGUCGUGCUAUCAAGCCUUGACAGAUGGCUAGCAUGUGGAGUAGCGGUAGGACUACAUAGUUCUUACGUUAGUACUGAGGUAGGCCUUCAGCAAAGCACAAGGCUGCCAUGUAACGGGCGUCAAAGUGAUGGUUACUGGUGUGCCUUGUAGACCGUGACAAGGCUGUUACCAUGGCUGGUUAAGAUGGUAAGCAGAUCGUAGUGAGAUCGUAACGAUGCCGGAGGGGUAACGAUCUACGACCUAGGUAACAGCGAUCGUAACGAUCGUUUGGGUGCCAUAGGGCAUAUCACCUGCAUACACAGCACCACCGGCGUUGCAAGAGGCAUGGUGACAAGCCUUUCCCCGAGAUACAUGCUGUAUCUCACAUGCUGUAUACAUGCCCUGUCCGUUGAGCUGCCCACUGCACACAUGUCUUGGUGCUCCUUUUCAUGUGGAUUGCAUCACGAAAUCUGACUUACCACCAAAAUGCAAAAGCGCCAUUGCCAGCAGCACAUGCACCGAUGAGACGAAGGUUGACAUGAGAAUAAGGCGGCCGGGGAAUUGCAAGCAGAUAUUUGCAUGCAUAAGCAAUUGCAAACUAUUAGGACCCCGUGCGAAAGCGCAGGCAGGGCAGACGAAUGGUUGUUGACCGCGACAGGAAAACACUGCUGUAGACGUUUUGAGCUGAUACAAUGCGAGUUCUCAGUCAGAAACUUACAUUCUUGGGCCUUGAGCCUGUUUGGCCUUGAAUUUUGUGCAGGUCGGCGAAGGUCAGCGACAAAGGCCUCCACUUUGACCAAGUUUGUAGCACCUCCGCCAACCCCUCAGGCAUGCUCGCAAGCUUGUGUCUAACAUAGUUGCUAUGAAAUAGCAUCGUGCAGUAUCAUAGAGGGUUUGAGAACGUGGAACACUGCAUGCCGAUAUCGCUUGCAACAGAGAUAGGCUGUAACAGGCUAGCGAUACAUUUAACAACUUGUUAGUAUUAAAUCUGUAGUGUAUAGUAUGAGUCUUAUAAGAGAUCAUACUAUUAAGUUGAGAAGCUGAAUGUCGGGUCUCCCCAUGCAGCAGCGCUGCCCCAUUGCGCAUGCCAGCUCGCCUCCCUUCUGGUAAUGCCAUUGCUAGGACGCUUAAUCCAAUGUAUGCGGCUGCGUCGGAUGCGGGCAUGGGAUGCAUGUGCCUGCCGCUCAGAUGGGGCCACACAAGCAGGCCACGCCCGGAAACAAGGUUUCCCACAGUGCAUGCACACAGAACACACCCCGUUGGGCUGCCCGCGUGGAGACACACGCAGUUGGGCAUUGCGCUGUGUUGGGCCAAGCGAUGGGCGCUGGUUGCGUCGGAUGCGGGCAUGGGAUGCAUGUGCCUGCCGCGCAGAUGGGGCCACACAAGCAGGCCACGCCCGGAAACACAGUUUCCCACAGUGCACGCACACAGAAGACACCCCGUUGGGCUGCCCGCGUGGAGACACACGCAGUUGGGCAUUGCGCUGUGUUGGGCCAAGUGACAAACAACAAGCACACGCCCACGCCCACAGCCUUGCCCUUGCUCACACCCUUGCACUUGCCCCUGCCCCUGUACACGCAAACGCGCACGCAUGCACGCAAGCACGCAUGCACGCACGCACACAGGUGCACACCCACGCGCACGCACACGCACACGCGCCCGCACAAGCGUGCACACACACCCACAAAUGCACAAGCUCAUGCUCACGUACGCACAUACGCGCACCUCGUGUACACACGAGCACACGCAUACACAAGCCCACAUAUGCACACACACACACUGUCCUACACGUAAUGUUUUCCUUGUGCUCUUUAACACACACACACACACACACACACACACACAUGCGCACACACACACACACACACACACACACACACACACACACACACACACACACACACACACACACACACACACACACACACACACACACACACACACACACACGCCUUUGGCAGAAGGUACGCUGGGAACGGUGACACUUUGAGACGCUGUGGCGGUUGGCCAUUGACGCAGUGCCGCUGCCGGGAAACUCGCAUACGCCGUUGGCUCGCCGUGAGCCAUGCGGCUGUGGGCAGCACGGCCAUGGGGGCGCCGCGGCGGAGGCACACGCCGCCGCCGCGCCCACGCCAUGGCAGCACCACUUCUGGGAUUGCGCGGUGGCGAAGGCCGUUGUGGCGCAGAUCAACGCACGCAACCCCGGUCCGGCUCCCAUCAGCCAAGCCCAGCUGUGGCUGGUCCAGGCGCCGCCGGGUUUUCAGCAGUGUGUUUGGGACGUGGUGGUGAUGGACACGGCUGGGAGUGGAAUGCGUCUUUAAUGUCUACUAUCAAUAGCUACUCGGCAUUAGGUGAGGUGUGAGCAUCAGGGGAUAAAGAAUUCGAGGUGUACGCGACGAACGGAAAACCCACCGGGGUCGAUGGGUUUUUUUUCGUUUCGCACACAAGCCGUAUUCCUCAAUUCUUAUUGUCUGUACCACUUUAUAGAGCCAAACUGUAUUCGUUUGUCAUCAACAAUGCAUCCAACACCAGCCGCAGACUGUGCGAGGAGGGAUUGAUUUCGAACUUAGCUGGCAGACCUCACUAGAAUGACUGUCUUCUCCCGGUUCGGUUGCCUUGGGAACCCCACUCAAAUGCUACAUGAGCUUGGUCGGGCAGUGGAGCGUGCGCGGCAUUGGAAGUCCACUUUCAAGCGGCAAUUCUUCCUCGCGGCAGUUUCGCUGGGGAAGUGUGAGCCCGGCAGCCAGCUGGUGGUCUACAAGGAUGGCGUGGAGUACAUCGGCACCCUGCCCGCAACAGCAAAGCCGUUCCUGCUCUUCGGCACGACGUUUGUCCCCAGCAGGCCGCGGGGGGCGCCAGCGCCCGAGGUGGGCAGCAGAGGACACUGUGACCAGUCCAGCUGCAGACACUUAGGCACCCCCUUAAAUGUACUGCUGUUUACGCAGAACCCCCCCGUGCCAGUGACCUUGAUGGAGCUCACGGGGUCCAAGUCAAAGCCCGAGCGGGCAUGCGACUACGUGCGGGAGGGCGGCGCCCUGCUGGUGCAGGAAAUCAUGGCGGGGCAAGAGGGGUGGCUGCAGGCAGACCUGAGCGGCAAGGCAAGAAUGCUGCUGGAGAUUGCCGCACUGGAGGGCGCUCCCACACCGGGCACCCUCGCAGCAAACAACCCCACGUACAACUACGCGGUCCGCGCUUUUGAGGAUGCCGCACAGGUGCGAAAGGCUUCCCGGUGAUUACAGGUGCUGCCCAACUACGGCCAUGUUGUACUGCUCCUGACCCACGUCCUCCGAUAGAUUAUGAUGGCCACUCACACACUUAACCAUGCAGGAGCUGACCAACAAGGCCGUGGCGCAGCAGCUGGCAGAGGAGCGGGCACAGGCACAGCAGCUGGCAGAGGCGCAGGCGCAGGUGCAGCAGCUGGCAGAGGCGCGGGCGCAGGCGCAGCAGCUGGCAGAGGCGCAGGCGCAGGUGCAGCAGCUGGCAGAGGCGCAGGCGCAGGCGCAGCAGCUGGCAGAGGCGCAGGCGCAGGCGCCGGUGGUACAGGGGUGGUCACCCGAAGACCAACAGCCUGGCGGCUCGGCUGGGCCCGCGGAGUACGUGCCGGCUACAGAGCUCACUGAGGCGGGCAGUGAUGCCGGCACCGACACGACACAGGACACAAAGCAGCUCGGCGCCGCCAGUACCCGCACCAGCGAGCCGCCUGCACGUCGCGUACCUGCUUCUUUGACCCAGCAGCGUAUGGCUGGGGAGGUCAGCAACAGUGGCGCAAGUGGUGAACCACCGAGAUUUACCGUUGCAAGGUCAAGGAGGUGCCACCUGCCCUGCAGUGCGGCCUGGGCCUUGCCGCCGUGCGUCUGCCGGCAACGCUUACAAGGCUGAUCAACCCUCGCCUGAUCGCGGAGCUGGCGUCGCUGGCGGACAAACGCGGAGAGCAGAUCUUCCAGCGCAUCUCAGCACUGCAGGGCGUGCAGGCGGAGAUCCGGAUGAGCGUGGGGACGGGCCAGCGGGUUCAGGUGCUGUGGAAGGACCUCGCGGGCAGCGCUGGGCUCCUGGUGCUCUGCGACAAACUGCGACCGUUGCUGGAGGAGGUCGUGACAGCGGCAGACCCGAAGGGUGAGCUGGGGCUGCACCUGGAGGACGCCGUGCUGCUGGCGAACCUGCCCGGCACUCGUCCGGUUGCCGAGCAGGUGCCCCACUACGACAUGGCGCCAGGGGAGCCCGGGUGGUUCAUCAUGCUCGCCCUCCAGCCGGCAAGCCUGCUGGUGGCGCAGGCCAGUCAGCACGAGGUCCUGCUGUGGGGCCGCGCGUACACCGCAGCACAGGAGGCGGGCCGGACUGCAGCUGUGCUGAAGGACCUCUGCGCCAGCACCCCCCACCGGCGGCUGGUGCGCCUGCAGCUGCCGGUGGGCGAGUUGCUGUUCGUGCACUCCAACCUCGUGCAUGCAGGCGACGCCGGGCGACUGGAUGGCAGCUACUCCCUGCGGCUGCACUGGUUCGUGAAGAGUGCGAAAACAACGAACAACACCCACCUGCCGCGCCAGAUCCACGUGGAGCUCGAGAAGCGCUUUGUGUGAUGGCUCAGACACACUCAGGAUGAAGGGGCGGGGCGGGGCGGGGCGGGGCGGGGCGGGGCGGGGCGGGGCGGGGCGGGGCGGGGCGGGGCGGGGCGGGGCGGGGCGGGGCGGGGCGGGGCGGGGCGGGGCGGGGCGGGGCGGGGCGGGGCCGGGUGGCGGGGCGGCCACAUUGGGAAGGUGAAUAUGCUUGUCAAUUAGGUUGUGUGGGAAAUAGAACAGGUUCAUCAGUGUGGCGGCAAGACAAACCAAGUUGACACGCGCUGUCACUCGUCUGGGUUCUGUCUGUGUUGCACCCUAGCAUUCUUACGGCUUCGUCGUCAGGGUAAAAGCUUGUCCCCUUGACAUAUGAACAGUUUGUGUGGCGAGGUUGUCAUGACCAGGGACUGGAGCGAGAUUAGAGAUGGGCCAGGGCGGGCCCCCUGACACCUCAGCACUGUUUAGUCCAGAAGUUCCCGGUUCUAAUUAAGCCUACUUUUUGGUGGUAGUUGCGACAUCAUUAUCUGACACCGUGCGGAAGUGAAGGUGGGGGUGGGUGGGGGCAGCAGUUGUUUGUUUGCUGCAAUCGCACGUCCAUGGACGCAACUCUAAACUGCUGGUUCUACGGACUGAAACGUUUCAGUCCGUAGAACCAGUACUGUGUGAGAAUCAAGAAGCCACUAGCAAAGCUUAAAGUUACAGGAAUUACUAUGUUGGCGGGCGGCCCUCCUUUGGGCCGGCCAUCCGAAUCAAUCGGCCUGUCCGAAAUGGGCCGCCCAGGCCUCUGGGCUGGGCGCCCAGACUGCCCCUCCCAUCCGAACCUCCCGGUCUGAACUUUUCGGACCGGCUUCGGACCAGCUUCGGACCAGGUUCGGACGUCAAACCCCGGUUUCGGACGCCUUGGUUUUCCCCGAGUGAUAUGGCCACAAGCAAAGCGUCGUUGCAUGCACAAACCAUCUCAUCCCAGCCAGCCGCCGAAUGCAUGCGUGCAUCCCUGCUGCCAGCCUACCGUGGAUCAACUGCCUGCUAUCUAUCUAGUUGCGUGAGUCCGCCUACGACCGUACUGAUCCCCAUAAUGUACCACCACGCCUGCCCUGGCGACCUGGCUUGUCGCAGCUUGUCCCAGGCCUGAUUGGUGGUGCACGGGCAGCUCCAGGGCCAUUCUCCUGGAGGAUGUGGACUGUGAUGGAGACGACCUGCUGGACUCGGUGUGUUACGACCUGGCGGGCAAUCCAGGCAUCAUCGGCUCAGGGAUUGACUGCACGGACACCUGGCCCUCCGUGGCAGCCUCCUAUUGCCCGCCUGUUUUCAACGGUACGAACGCUAGCUAUGACGGGCACGCGCACGGGCAUAUGGCAAUGCAUAUAGAUGCACGUACGACCACCUGCACGCAAAUCCUAUACUGCCUAUAAUCAGAAUCUUUGCGCCUGAUAUGAGUGAUGCUUGCUCCUUUCCUGACCCGGCCUGCCCUUCCCCACCGCUUCUCAAUUAGGGCAGGGCACCAUCAGAUGGGCCACACAUUGCCACCUGCCAUACCUGCAUCAGCACCCCAACUCCUAGUCCCAGCCUGAUUAUACAAUGCACCAUGUGCCAACACUCCAUACAAACGCUGGAAACACAAACAGCCAACUGCCCCACAGCCACCUGGACCCACAUAUCCCUCCCCCCCCCCCGCCUCCUUAGGGGCACCAUCAGAUGGGCCACACAUUGCCACCUGCCAUACCUGCAUCAGCACCCCAACUCCUAGUCCCAGCCUGAUUAUACAAUGCACCAUGUGUCAGCACUCCAUACAAAUGCUGGAAACACAAACAGCCUACUGCCCCACAGCCACCUGGACCCACAUAUCCCUCCCCCCCCCGCCUCCUUUGGGGCACCAUCAGAUGGGCCAUGCAUUGCCACCUGCCAUACCUGCAUCAGCACCCCAACUCCUAGUCCCAGCCUGAUUAUACAAUGCACCAUGUGCCAACACUCCAUACAAAUGCUGGAAACACAAACAGCCAACUGCCCCACAGCCACGUGGACCCACAUAUCCCUCCCCCCCCCCCCUGCCUCCUUAGGGGCACCCACAGGUGGAUGGGCCACGCAUUGCCAUCUGCCAUACCUGCAUCAGCACCCCAACUCCUAGUCCCAGCCUGAUUAUUCAAUGCACCAUGUGCCAACACUCCAUACAAAUGCUGGAAACACAAACAGCCAACUGCCCCACAGCCACGUGGACCCACAUAUCCCUCUCCCCCCCCCCGCCUCCUUAGGGGCACCAUCAGAUGGGCCACACAUUGCCACCUGCCAUACCUGCAUUGGCACCCCAACUCCUAGUCCCAGCCUGAUUAUACAAUGCACCAUGUGCCAACACUCCAUACAAAUGCUGGAAACACAAACAGCCAACUGCCCCACAGCCACCUGGACCCACAUAUCCCUCCCCCCCCGCCUCCUUAGGGGCACCCACAGGUGGGCCACACAUUGCCACCUGCCAUACCUGCAUCGGCACCCCAACUCCUAGUCCCAGCCUGAUUAUUCAAUGCACCAUGUGCCAACACUCCAUACAAACGCUGGAAACACAAACAGCCUACUGCCCCACAGCCACCUGGUGUCACGCCAGGGCGUGGGACCGGACAUGGCGUGGGACCGUGCCGGGAAAGCUGUGAAACCCGGGGUCAGAACCAGUGCGGCUGUCGAGUUGUGAGUCAGCACGUUACUAAGCAGGCACAACUCCCGUGUGCCGAUUACCGUAGCAAUGCUCUGUUUGGCCCUAACUGCCCGUAAGAGCUUGUGUGUUUGAGUGAGCUGGGUUUGUGCUGCUAGGUUAUGCGGAGUGAGGAAGUUGCGUUAUCCGCCAGUCUGACGCGCGGAGGCGGGCGGAAUGAGGCGGAGACAGGUUUAUCCGCCCCGGUAGCUCAAGACAAGUCGUCUUGUCUUGAACUAUCUGGUACUACUUGCUGGUUAGUGAUUUCAGAGACAACGACCAUUCUACAAUACUCGUGGAUAGCACGAAGUGCACAGACAGAGCCGCCUCUGUAACUUUGAGGAGACAAGAACCGAGCACCCUUGAUACGCACAGUAGUCUACGCGCUUAAGAGAGCAGUAAGCCACGUAGCACUCAGUUCAAGACAAGACCGCGAGGCGCCGCGCGCCCGCAUCCUGCUCUCAUUUUGGUUUCUUGGCGGUCACACCGCGCGCAAGCACAAGUAAGCAUUCGGGUACUCUACCUGGAGAUUACCAAGCCAUUAGCCGGGGCCUCUCAGGCUCCGCGCUAGCGUUCAAGGAUUAGCUUCACCGGCCCGACGGGGUUGCGCUACAGCAAGCUACUUCCAGCCUCCCAGACGUCAUUGCACACCGGUUCUAUUGCUUAGGUGUUGCGAGACAUUCUUCAGUUCUGCUUGGGUGACGAGAGUUGCGGGCGAAUUGCUGCACGUUACGGAGCAAGCAUCGUGAUAGGCCAUCACGCCUGUUUGUUUCAGAGCUGCUGCAUAUUAACCAGCUUCCUACGCCACACCUUUUGACUUUCUUCGCAGUGGGCAGAGAGGACCGAGAAGCUGCUCCAGCUACGUCGUCUCACGACCGUCCCUCUGGCUCACGAACCGUCUCACGGGAACGCGUCACUUGGGACCCUCCCAAGCAUCUGCAGCAGGCACGAGGCCGCACCCUUGAACAGGAGCUCCGCGAGCGCAGCCGUGGCCGCAGUGACUCCGAGCGCAGGCGCAGCCGCAGCCCCAACCACAUCAAGAGCAGGCGCAGUCGCAGCCGCAGCCGCAGCCCUAACCCCGGCGCCGCGCGCCCAGGCGCCGCUGCAGCACCCGCACGCUCGCUGACCUCCAGCGAGCGCGCCGCCGUGCUUGCUCUGCUGGUCUCAACAGCUGCUCCCCAGCAGCCGCACCUUGUCGCAUCAGACCCCGACGCGAGGGUGCUUGACACCGACCCGUCCUUCCGGCCACUCCUGCAGCCGGCGGACGGCGAGAAGUGCCUGCGCCUCUGCAUCACGCUCUUGGACGGCGCUCCGCCCCUUGAGCUUGUGGAAGGCUGCCUCAUUCACGGUUGGCAGUCCAAGCACACCACAUCACAGUGCGACGUGCUCCGGCGCGCACGUGCUGCCUACCUAGAGUACGCAGCGUCGCGCCCCGCGGCGGCACCCCGGCGUUAGUCAGCUACAGCGUGCAGCCCGUGUGCAGCGGCUCAGCAGCCUACUGCCACGUCGUCUGCGCGCUACCUGCGGGCUCCGAGACCUCCCAGGUCCCCACACCCGAGCCAGUGCUACGUCUACGAGGCUACCGUACUACUAAGUGACUCUGAGUCACCGGCUUCCAGCAUUCCAAGAGUCCGAGACAUCACGAGCCUCUCAGGCUGGCGCAACGGGAGCUGCACAACCUUCUCCGUCUUCUGCCGCCGGUGCAUCCUGAGCCAAGACCUGACGAAGCAGCCGACCGGCCCGUAGGGGGCACGCGGUCGGGCACGCAGUAUUCAGGGAGUCGCCAGCCUUCACCAGCCAAGCAGUCGGCGGGCUCCAGGCAGCGCAGUCUUUCCGUUCCACGCCAGUCUCCGGCCAAGGCGACAGCUUCUGCGGAUCGCCAAGCCGGUAACAACAGCGGUGCAGGGCCCUCGGCCCCGCGCAUUAGACCAACAGUAGACAACAGCAGCGGCAGCCAGCGCGCCGGUUCACGCACCGACAGCCGGCACACUCAGUCUACCGGCCAGGCGCCUCCACCGCCUGUCGCCGCGCCGCUCUUACUUCAGGCAGCGCCCCCGCUCCCCGCGGCCGCGCCACCUCCGCCACCUGCACCCCUCGCGUUGCAGGUGCCACCGCAGGCACUCCCAGUGCCGCAGUUGGCUGUGCACACCUUCUCCGACUCAGACGACGAACGGAGCAUGAGCAAGCAGUUCAAACCCAUGGAUCCCUGGGAUCACCAUCAGGUGCCUCCGCUCGGCAAGCAGCUCAGAGAGGACCUGAACAGCGCGCGCAAGUACCACGGCAACUGCGCGUAUGAUGCGGUUCCGGCUGACGAGGCGCUGCGCCUCAUCGACGCCGGCCCCGACGUCAACACCCCGUACCACUUCUGGUGGUCCAAGGAGCGUCCCACGCUCCAGGCGCGCGCGCUUGCCCACCACCUUGCGGCCAACCCCGCGCCAGGCGGCCAGCAACCGCCGCCCCUGUGCGGCCACCACGUGCUGGACUUCUACAUCCAGCUCCUGCACGACCAUUUCGCCCUGGACCGCGCUAGCUACUACGAGGACCGCUACAACAGGCUGCAGCAGGAGGAUGAGCAGACGCCGUCUUCGCUGCUGGCUGAGAUGCGGCAGUGCGAGCCGCACCUGCACGCCAUGCCGCAGGACAAGUUCGCGAUGGACUUCCUGCGCAAGCUGCACCCUCGCAUUGUGACCAACGUCAGGAACCGCUGGGACAUCAUCCCCGUCACCAGCUGGUACGGCCGCCUCUCCGACAUCGCCAAGGACGCCGACGUGGUUUGGGACAACCACCGGCGCGAGGCUAGCUAUCAGAAGCGCAUCACCGCGGUCUCUGCAGCUGCCAGCGCGCCCUCGGCUAACCCGAGCACCUCGGCGCCAGCCGCGCGCAGCUCCAAGCCCUCGUCCAGCUCCAGCGGCCCCGCCGCGGCACCCAAGGCCUCGUCCAGCUACUACUGCCAGCACCACGGCGCCAACCGCUCGCACAACACGGAGAACUGCAACGUGCUGCAGAGCAAGCGGUCCACUGCGCUGGCCACCAGCUCCGGCCCGCCGCCCUCGCAGCAGCAGGAGCUGGCGCGCAUGUUCAACCAGUUCGCAGCUCAGUUUGGCUUCAACGGCUACUCGGCGGCGGCUACCAGCACUGCUGCUCCCGGUGCGGCGACCAAGUACCAGGCGGAGGCGGACCGGCGCGGCGCCCGCGGCCGCGGCUAUGGCGGCGGCAGCGGUGGUGGCGGCGGCGGUGACGCGGCCGCCCGCGCAGGAGACGUGGAGCGCUGUGACUACUGCCGGCUGUCUCACCCCGGCAUCUGCUACGUCAAGUACCCCCACCGUGCUCCGCAGAACUACCGGCCACGUGCGCAACACCUGCAGGACCUGUUCGCCUACAACCUCAGCAGGGCUCCCCUGCCUGACACCAAGGCCGGCAACGAGCAGGCGGGCGGCACCAAGCAGGCGGCUGGCAACGAGAAGAACGCCGCCGCGGCGGUGACCGGCUACGACGACGGCGAGGACGAGCUGUACUACGGCUACGUGACCGCCCUGGCGGACGAGAGCCCAGCAUCCAGCAGCAGCGCUUCGGCCUCCCAGGCCGCCGGUCGCCGCGGCUACUGGUUCCUCCACGGCGGUGACAACUGCGUUGCGUCCACCUGCAGCCAGCCCUGGGAUGAGCCCGACCUCGCCUGCCUCUCGGUGGCCUGCGCCGAGCUCAGCCCGGACUCCUGCGCAUGCGGCGCCCUCGUCACUGGCCUGUGCGACAAGCUGAUGAUGGAGUGCGAGGCUCCUGAGGGCGGCCCCGGGGGCUCCCAGCCCGCGCACGCCGCCGAGCCGCUGCUCGCGGCGAUGGCCACCCUCAAGCAGCAGCCGGCGCCGGUGGGCUUCCAGCCGGCUCCCGCCGGCACGCCGGCGGAGCCGCCGCAGCAGCUUCUGAGCCCGUCACUGGCGCCGCACAACCAGGUGGUUUCCUCCGCAGUCACGCUGCUGCAGGCCAAGGCUGACCGUCUUCAGAAGGACAUCAGCCAGAUGGUGAGCGAGUUGGCCGGCGAGACCCGCUACCAGCUCAUGAUGGUCGCGGCGGCCUCCCAGGCCGCUGAGCGUGCAAGUGACAAUCCGCCCGCGGCCACGUGCGCCACCUGCACGCGUGAGAUUGGCGUGCCUGUCAACUUCUGGACCGACACGCCCUGCAUGUACACGGUCGCCAACGCCCCCCUGGGCGGCGCGGCCGAGGGCUACAAGCUGUCACCAGACUUCCGCCCCAUCACCAGCGUGCCACCGGACGAGUUCACCCGCCAGCUUGAGGAGAAACCCGCACUGAAGGCCUACUUCGACAGCAACCCGGAGAUGUUCUACUGCAACGUCGGUGAUGUGGCUGUGGGCUUCGCGCGACCGCGCAACCAACCUCUGCACGCCCUGCCCCAGGUGCUGCGUGACCACAGCGCCAGCGUCAACAUCGUGACGUCGUCCUUCGUGCGCCUGCACCGUCUGCCGACUCGACCAACCACUUCCCGUCUGGCUACAGCUUCCAGCAGCUCUGAGCGACAGCAGCUGGAGCUGGUGCACGAGCAGCUGGUGGUGAGCAUCAAGCCUGGUUCGGCCUUCAACGUGCGCAUCCCCAUGACCAAGACCCUGGUCGUAGGAGACACACACCUGUUUGACGUGCUCCUGGGCAACGAGCAGAUGAAGCCGGUCGCCGACUAUGUCACCGUGCUGCCGAAGGCCAUGCUGCACUACUUCCCCAACGUGCUGGAGUUCCCCGACUGCAUCGUCAGCCUGCCACUGCACAGCGCCAACGGCGUGCGGGCGGCCCUGGCCUCCGUCGAGAACUAUGCAGCCUGCUGCACCAGCCUCUGCGACCCCGUCGCGAAGCUGGGGGGGGGAUGCAACUCUCCGACUGCGCUCGGCAACAGCACCAGCAGCAGCGGCACCGUGCCCGGCAUCGCCAGCAGCAGCACCGAUGUGCCCGCACCCUGCCAGGCGCCCAGCGGCACCGCGCCCAGCACCGCCGGCGGCACUGGCGUGAUCAGCGGCAGCGUGAGCGCAGACUGUGCGGCCUACCUUGACCGCCUCCUCGCAGCCCGCCUCGCCGCCGGGACGGAGCUCACACCAGCUGAGACGGAGGCACUGGAGCAGGCACUGAUUGCAGCAACGGGGAAAUCCUCCAGCAUUCACUGCGACCUGAAACCCCACAACUACCUGCUGGAUAAGCCGGUGCUGCCGACGCCCAAGCCCGCGGUGCUCAGCUGGCGCACGCGGGGCAGGCGCCGGGUGCGGUGGUACUGGCGGCAGUCCCUCGACCAGACCAGCACUGACGGCGACUCCCAGGCUACGCAGUCCCACUGCUCCAGCGGCGGCAUCAAGUCCGAGGCCCCACUGCACACCGCCAGCGCCCAGUCCGACGUCCAUCCGCCCACCGGCAUCUCCGACGUCCCUCCGCCCACCGGCAUCUCCGAGCCCAGCACCGUCAUCGGCAACGCUACUGCGGCUGAUGCCGCCCACGCCGCUGGCGGCAGCGCCAAGGCUCCCGCAGUGGGCUGGGCAUCCAAGGCCGCUUCGGCUCUGAGCCAGGCGGCCGUCAAGGGCAUGAGCUACCUGACUCUCCCUGGUCUCCAUGGCCGCCAGCGUCGGCGCCGUGGGAGGCACUUUCAGCGGAGCACCGGGUCUGCAGGCUCUCCAGCACCUGGAGGCCGUGCAGGCGGCGCUCAGCACCGCUCCACCACACCUUCGCGCGCGCUGGGACGCUGCGCACCAACCUCCGUCCUCAGUCAGCAGCGCGGGCCCCCCGGGCCUCUCGCACGUGCUGGCCAGCGUCGAGUCGUUCACCUUUGAUGGCAAGAUGGCGGCUGCCGCCUCCGAGCGCUACGAGAAGGACAAGGACGGCGGCUGGGUGUGGGGCAACGCUGUCGGCAUGACGCCUGAGCACGCCGCGCUACUACGGGCCACGGUGCGCACCCGCAAGUCCUCUGCCUUCGCCUACAGCAUGGAGGAGCUUCCCGGUUACUCUGGUGAGCUUGGCGCCUUCCGUCUGGACCUGACCACCGACAAGCCUGUCAUCCAGUCACCGCGCCGCUACAGCCCCAAGGAGGUCGAGGUCAUCAAGCAGAAGAGUGCUGAGCUUCUCAAGCCCGGCAUCUGUGUUGAGUGGACAGGCCCCACCCAGGUGGCCGUCAACCCUGUCAUCGCCGCCAAGCGGGACGAGGCCACCGGGCUCUGGACAGGAGCACGCAUGGCGCAAGACUACCGCCCAGUCAACAAGGUGACCAAGCCCGACAAGUACGGCCUACACCGCCCAGAAGACAUCUUCCAGAGCGUGGAGAAGGCGCGUUUCUUCAGCAAGCUCGACAUGCGUCAGGGUUUCCUUCAGAUCUCCAUUCACAAGGACGACUACGGCAAGACGGCGUUCUGGUGCGGCAAUCGUCUGCUCGCCUACACCCGCAUGCCCUACGGUCUCAAGAACGCGUCCGCCGCCUUUCAGCGCCGCAUGGACCACGAGCUGCGGCGUGCCGGCCUGGACAAGGUAGCUGUGGCCUUCAUUGACGACGUACUGAUUGCUACCGAGACCGCUGAGGAGCACGUCGAGGCAGUAGCAAGAGUGCUUGACACGCUCGCAGCGUGCGGGCUCCGAGCCCAUCCUGACAAGUCCAUCUUCGGCGCCGACGUUAUCGAGUACCUUGGCCACAACCUCUCCACCUUCGGCAUCUCGCCUCAUCAGGCCAAGGUCGCCGCAAUCUUGGCCCUCCAGCCGCCCAAGAACGUCUCGGAGCUUCGUACGCAGCUGGGCUUCAUCAACUACUACCGCUGCUACAUCCCGAACAUGAGUGAGAUCGCCGCGCCGCUGAAUGAGCUGCUCAAGAACGACGCGCGCUGGCGGUGGGGGCUGGAGCAGGAGGAAGCGCACCGCGCGCUAAAGGAGACCUUCAUGCGGCCCGAUGUCGUGUUGCGCCGCAUUGACUACAGCCGUCAACUCAUUCUCCACACCGACUUCUCCAACAAGGGCAUCGCCGCGGUCCUCGGCCAGCGCGAUGAUGAAGGUCGUGAGUACAUGUGCGCCUGCAUCUCCCGCUCCCUCAACAAGCACGAGGCCAACUACAGCUCCUACAAGGGCGAGAUGCUGGCGGUCGUGUGGGCGGUCAAGAUGCUACGCCAUCACCUUAUCGGCUCCGAUGUUCCCUUCAAGCUGGUGACUGACCAUCAGCCCCUCCUCUACCUCAUGAGCUCCGAGGGCCUCACAGGCCAAUAUGCCCGCUUCGCCCUCGUCCUGCAAGAGUACAACUUUGAGGUCGAGCACCGCCCCGGGAUCAAGCAUCAGAAUGCGGACGGGCUCUCGCGCAACCCUCGGCCCAGCACCGUGGACGGCUCUGGUGCCCGGCUUGACGAAGACGAUGACGACGGGCCGGCGACGCUACCGGCGGUGUCAACAAGUGAGGAGCCGCCAACCGCCGCUGCCGUGGCUGCCAGCCUCUCAGCUUGCGAGGUCGUCCACGUCGCCCUUGCAACCGCCGUCCCGCUGGCGCCCUUCUCUUCUGACUUCAUGCCCAGCACCGAGGAGGCCAUCUCCGGAUGGAACGGCUGGGGCUACGAGGCAGCCGCACCGCCGCCUGACGCUCCCGAUCGUCAGGGCAAGGCUGCCCGAGCAUUGCUGCGCAGCGCAGCACUCGAGUGGCGAGCGGCCAGCAAACUCCGGCGGCAAGGCAGUGGCUCACCCUCGGUGGCCCCCUCACCGUCGCCUGUGGCCGUCAGCGCCUCCGUGUGGUUCGACAACGCCCUCCGCCAAGGCGUCACGUUGUGGGAGCCUACCGGCGGUCUGGGUGGGGCCCUUGAUGCAGUCCUGCUCAACGGCAUUCCAGUCAGGCGCUACCACUACUCAGAUUCUUCACGUGAGGCGCGCUCCGCGCUUCACCACCGCCUCUCAGGCAUCACGGACCUGCGGCCGGAGCUAUUCCCUGCCUCCGCUUGGGACCAGACGCUUCUCUCUCUCCCGCAUGGUGCCUCGCACGUGGCGGAUGCGGACUUGCGGCUGCUGGGACAGGGCGGCGAGCCGAUUCUCAUUGCAGCUCAGUGGGAGUCAGGGGACGUCGUCACACAGGCUAACGUACUCAGCUUGGCGAGCCGCGCUCGUCAGCUGCUGGGCGAGCAGCGCGUAAUGCUGCUCUGCCACGUCUCCUGCACCAACACCAGCACCCCACCACCGGAGCAGCGUGCUGCCGAUGCGGCGGCCAAGGAGGCCUGGGGCCGCCCGCUCGUGUCAGACGCAGCGCGGUUCGGCUCUGGCUUCCAUCAGCUCUACCGCACGUGGACAACGCUAGCUGACCCCGCGGCCCUGCGUGACGUGGCGGAGUCAGCGACGCGCCCCGCCGCCUGUGAUGCGCAGUCCCUCUUGGGCGUCGGCCGGACCGUGCCCACCACUGCCAAGCCGCUGCGUCCUCCCUUCUACCCCUGCGACGUCGAAGGCAAGCCAGUGAAGGCGCUCAUGGCCUCCGCCGCCCGCGCCAACGUCAGCGCCGAGUCAGCCUCAGGCGCCUGCCCCAUCUUCGACGCCGAGUCAGGGCGCUACACACCUCCCACGGCUGAUGAGUGUGAGCGCCUGCUGGGCUUCGACGGACCUGUCACAUCGGCGACCGGACUCAGUGAGCAGCAGCGCAAGGCCCUGAUCGCAUCAGCGGCAAACGUCACGCAGCUGGCCAGCAUCAUCGCCAUCAGUCGCGUGCUGGCGGACGAGGUCAACGCUGGUACCCCCGCCAGUGCGGCAGCCCUGGUCACGUGGCGCACACCCGCCGGCGGCCUCGCCAUUCCUCUCACCCGGACCCCUCUGUCGGCCAAUGACACCAUCAUCGCAGCGCUCGCCUCCGCAGCCCUGGAGCCUGAGGCAGCUGCAGAGGCCGCCUCUCCUACGGACGCCUGGUCGGACGACGCCCUGCUGGACUAUCUUCGCACCGGUGCCGUCAACGCCAGCCUGCCCCAGGCUGAACAGCGACGCCUGCGGCGCCGUGCGGCCCGGUACCGCUGGCAAGGCGACCAGCUUCACAUCGUGGGGCUCGACGGCCGCCUGCGGCAGGUGCCGCGCCCUGCCGAGCGGGGUGAGCUGGUGCGGCGCAUGCAUGAGCAGGCAGGACACUUCGGCGUGCGCAGGACCUGCGCGCUCCUGCUGCAUUCACACUGGUGGCGCGGCAUCACGGACGAUGUGCGCAGCGCUGUCAAGCACUGCGAGGCCUGCGACCGCGUCAAGGCCUCCUACUCCAGCCGCCAGUCCGAGCUACACCCAUUGCCCAUCGGAGGACUUUUCUACCGCUGGGGCGUAGAUCUGUGCGGCCCCUUCAACCAGACUCAGCAUGGCAACCGCUACGUGAUGGUCUGCGUGGAGCACUUCAGCAAGUUUGUGCUCCUGGUGCCCAUACCGUCCAAGCACGCCCACGUCACUGCCCUCGCCUUCAAGCAACACGUGCUGGGCGUCUACGGUUCCUGCGCCGAGGUUUGCACAGACCAAGGCAGCGAGUGGAAGGGCGAGUUCGCCACAGUGCUUCUCGACGCUCUCAUCGACCAUCGCCAGACCUCUGCUGAUCAUCCCCAAGCCAACGGUCUCACCGAGAGGGCUGUGCAGACCUGCAAGAAGGCGCUCACCAAGCUGGCGCUCGGCGCCGGCGCUGUGACCGACUGGGACCAACACCUGCCGUCCAUUCAACUUGGCUACAACUGCUCCGCGCAGUACUCCACCAAGCUCAGCCCGUACACCCUCGUCUUUGCCAACGACCCCGUCGUCCCUCCUGCGGUGAGGCCUCGCUUUGACCAGGACCUGGACUUGGAUGACCCCGAGGCAGCGGCACGCUCCGUGCUGCUGCGCGCCGCCGCCCUGCGGCGGCACAUGGCCAUCGCCGGCGGCAACCUGGCAGUGGCGCAGCACCGUGACAAGCUGCGCUACGCCCGGAUGCGCGGCGGCGGCUACGACCCCAAGAUCCGCAAGCUGGAGGUGGGCGACUACGUCUACUAUCGAAACACCAGCGAGCGCACCGCACUGGAAGCCCAGUCGCGGCCUGACAUCCUUCGCGUGUGUGACCUGCGUCAGUCGGGAGUGGUGGUGCUCGAGGGCCGCUGCGGCACGCAGAUCACCACUCACGUCACGCACGUGGCACCCUGCCACCUGCCCAUUGCUGACACCGACACGGAUCCUCGCCUGGCACGCCCGUCUAUCACCCUGUCCUGCGAAGUCUGCAAGAUGCCCGACAACGAGGAGUGGAUGCUGCUGUGCGACGCCUGCGGCACGGGCUGGCACACGUUCUGCCUCAGCCCGCCUUUGGAGGGCAUCCCCGAGGGCUCAUGGGUCUGCCCUACCUGCAGCAGCAAGGGCGUCUCCGCGGACAGCCUUCGCCAGGAGCAGACGCAGCGGCGUGCGGCCACCGCGGUGCCCGCCAAGUUCCAGAAGCUGCAGGGAGCGCUCGCCAUGCGGGCAGCCAAGGGUCGCCGCGCGCGCAGUGCGGCCAACUCAGGCGUGGUCAGCUACGCAGGGCAGCGACGGCGUGUGCACCAGUUCCUUAUUGAGUAUCCCGACGGCAGCAGCGAAGUGGUCACCCACACGCAGCUGCGUCCCCGUCUCGUCUCCCAGCCCAGCUCAGCACUGGCCUCAGCCGUCAGUGCGGCCCCGGCGCUGCCAGCGCUCGUAGGCAACGCGUGGCCCGGGCGGGUCAGCUGCCCCGCGUCCACUGCUUCAGAGCUGGCGGCACUUUCCCAGGUGAUCAACAUUGAGCAUGCCUCGGCUAUCUACGCGCCCUGGAACGUGCCUGACGCGACCGCGGCCUGGCUGCGGGCGCACGGCUGCCACCUGCGGCGCGGCAAGCCUACUCAGGGAGCUGCGGCGGCGUCAGCGGAGUGUCUGCAGCGUGCCAGCGAUGACGGUGUGAAAAUGAAUGUGCUGUGGUGCGAGGCCGAGCCAUUAGUUGUAGAUGCGUGCCUUGACGAGGCCCGAGCGUUUGUUACUGAAGCUAUUAUUGCGCGCAUGCCCCGUGAUUAUGUUGCUACUGCCAGCAAGGCCCGCCUUGCCUGGCUGCGGAAGCGCCAUGCGUGCGGUGACCUGAUCAUUGCUUCGUGCGCGACGUGUGUGUGGCUGAUUUAUUUAGGAAAGGGUGUCAAACGGUGGGGGUUUGUCACCGGCGCGUCCGCCGGCGACCCCGUGCUUUGAUUCAGUUGGCGGUUUCAUCUCCUGGCGCACUAGGCGCACAUGUACUGUGGGUGCCUGCUUCUUCCAGCCCCGGCCUGCAUCUGCGCCGUGGCUGGGGGGGGGGAUAAACAUCAGGGCACGUUCUGUUAGCAUCAGCACGCAUCAGGGCGUGACAGCUGUCACGCCAGGGCGUGGGACCGGACAUGGCGUGGGACCGUGCCGGGAAAGCUGUGAAACCCGGGGUCAGAACCAGUGCGGCUGUCGAGUUGUGAGUCAGCACGUUACUAAGCAGGCACAACUCCCGUGUGCCGAUUACCGUAGCAAUGCUCUGUUUGGCCCUAACUGCCCGUAAGAGCUUGUGUGUUUGAGUGAGCUGGGUUUGUGCUGCUAGGUUAUGCGGAGUGAGGAAGUUGCGUUAUCCGCCAGUCUGACGCGCGGAGGCGGGCGGAAUGAGGCGGAGACAGGUUUAUCCGCCCCGGUAGCUCAAGACAAGUCGUCUUGUCUUGAACUAUCUGGUACUACUUGCUGGUUAGUGAUUUCAGAGACAACGACCAUUCUACAAUACUCGUGGAUAGCACGAAGUGCACAGACAGAGCCGCCUCUGUAACUUUGAGGAGACAAGAACCGAGCACCCUUGAUACGCACAGUAGUCUACGCGCUUAAGAGAGCAGUAAGCCACGUAGCACUCAUAAACAUCAGGGCACGUUCUGUUAGCAUCAGCACGCAUCAGGGCGUGACACUGGACCCACAUAUCCCUCCCCCCCCCGCCUCCUUAGGGGCACCAUCAGAUGGGCCACACAUUGCCACCUGCCAUACCUGCAUCAGCACCCCAACUCCUAGUCCCAGCCUGAUUAUACAAUGCACCAUGUGCCAACACUCCAUACAAAUGCUGGAAACACAAACAGCCAACUGCCCCACAGCCACCUGGACCCACAUAUCCCUCCCCCCCCCCCCCCCCGCCUCCUUAGGGGCACCCACAGGUGGGCCAUGCAUUGCCACCUGCCAUACCUGCAUCGGCACCCCAACUCCUAGUCCCAGCCUGAUUAUUCAAUGCACCAUGUGCCAACACUCUAUACAAAUGCUGGAAACACAAACAGCCAACUGCCCCACAGCCACCUGGACCCACAUAUCCCUCCCCCCCCCGCCUCCUUUGGGGCACCAUCAGGUGGGCCAUGCAUUGCCACCUGCCAUACCUGCAUCGGCACCCCAACUCCUAGUCCCAGCCUGAUUAUACAAUGCACCAUGUGCCAGCACUCUAUACAAAUGCUGGAAACACAAACAGCCAACUGCCCCACAGCCACCUGGACCCACAUAUCCCUCCCCCCCCCCCCCUGCCUCCUUAGGGGCACCCACAGGUGGAUGGGCCACGCAUUGCCAUCUGCCAUACCUGCAUUGGCACCCCAACUCCUAGUCCCAGCCUGAUUAUACAAUGCACCAUGUGCCAGCACUCCAUACAAAUGCUGGAAAUACAAACAGCCUACUGCCCCACAGCCACCUGGACCCACA